UUACCAACGAAUGGCAAGUGCUUUUCCUUGUGUGGAUCCUAUUUCAAUGGGAACUUGAUGAGUCGAUCCGCCUACACGUCUUGCUUUUACUGCUAUAUCGGGAGUUACUCCACGUAUUGCUUGACGUAAAACAGAUAGUGGAUUUGUUUCUGUCUUUUGUUGAAUCUUUUUCAAGGCUCGAUAGAUAAUUUGAUAAGCCAAUGAUUUUUUUCCGUGUUUCAGAAUACGGUUAACCAACAUGUUAACUAAUCGAUUACGAUAAAUUGGAUCGGAUUUUGCAGUUUUUUCUUCUGCAGUACCUCGACGUGACAUGAGCGUGAAAGGGGUUCAAGAAUCCAUUUUCUUUUUAUAAGGGUUAAAAUCAUUUAUUUUGGCUUUUUGACCCCAUAUUGUAGGGUGGAUCUCGAAAGAUUUUUUAAAUUUAACUCAAACAAUUUCAAUCAAUUUGACUUGACUCAAUUCGAAAAAAUUUUAAAUUGAGUUAGGAUGAUAAAAUAGGACUCGUCAACUCGAAAUUUUUUUCACUUGAUUCGAUUGAAUGCUCAUCCCUAGUUUGAAGGAGUUGAGGGCCGCUCAUUAACCAAGGCCGAAUUACCAGCCGCUAGUCUGCCCUGAUUUCUCGUCCAAGGGCGAAUCUAGAAAAAUUUUUAGCAUGGGUCAGUAUUUAAUUAUAAAUUUCUCAUAGACCAAAAUAUAUAUUUAUUAUGUAUUAAUUUAUAAUUUCAUUAUUUUUUAAGGUAUUAAAAAAAUUAAAUUUAUUUUAUUUUUAGGGGCCUAAAGUGUAAUUUUAUUAUAUAUUAAUUUAUAAUUUUAUAUUUAUAAGAAGACUGAAUUGACAAAUUUUCUUUUGGAGGGGGUUAAAGUGUAAUUUCACUAUAUAUUAAUUUAUAAUUUUCUAUUUAUAAGAGGACUAAAAUGAAAAUUUUCAUUAUUCGGAGGCUUCAGAUUCGCCUAUGUUCUCUUCCAGUCUAGUCACCGCAUCUCUAGGCACCUUACACCUUAAUUUUCUCCAAUACGAUGAUCUCCCUUUAAACCGGGCCAUGUUAACCCCUAACUUGUUCCCAUGAAAUGUAAAGCCGUUUAGACGACAAAUAGCUCUUUUCGCAUCAUCAUUAUCAGCAGACCUUACGAAACCAAAUCUCCAACCGCUCCUACUCAAUUUUUGAGGGAUAAAGACAUCCAAAACUAUCCAUAAACCUUAAACAGUCUCCAUUGAACUGUAGAAGGUAUAUUAUUAACAAAGGGAUUUUCUUGCUUGCAUUCUCUUUUGAGACCAUGUUGGAUUCUUUUUCUUGUCUUGGGUGUCCACUUUAAGGUGGAGACUUUUUGCAGCUAUGUUUUGGCAAUUGCUGUAGUUUUGGCCUAAGAUGUUGUUUGAUUGGGUUGGUCAGCCGGCUUUGAUGUACAAGGUAAGAGUGAAUUAAUGAGUGUUUUGUUGUUUAGUAUGUGAAUGAUUUGGGUCAAAGAUGAGUGUAUUCAGUUAUGGUGGGAGCGUUUUAAGGAAAGGAUGUUAGCUUUGACUUUUGUAUACUUUAUAAUGUGUAUUUUUAAGGUGCCAUGUUUUGGUAUGACAUUGUUCCUGACUUCUGUAGUGGCAGUUUUGCCUUGCUUUUAUUAUUAAUUAAGCAAAUAAAAAAUAAAAAAAUACUGCCUCACUUCCUGGUGCAAUUUAAUGAAGAUUCCUUGGCUUCACAAUGGGAGUUGCUUAAAGGCAUUAAAAGUGAUGCUUGGUGUCAUUCAAUGUGAAGAGAUUUUGCUGUUAGAGUUGGGGUAUUUCUUUGCUGCAAUUAUGGAGUAUAAGUUUUGUUGUACACUGAAACCGUCACUACACACUCUUCUCAAAUUAAUGUUGGAUGAAUAUCAAUAGAGCCAAACACCGCGACCUGGACUCACAUACGUUGUUCUGAUCCACUACUUUUAAAAAUUAGAAAUUUUCAGCAUUACUAAUCUCAAUCAGGGAUUUAAAUAGCGGACCGAUUUCAGAAUAGCGGCCGUUAUAUAGGGGUAGCGCCACUGUCUGAAAUCGCAAUUACUGAAAAUAACGGAGUGAAGCGGAGUCACACCGAUAACGGUGGAUAGCGGCCACAACUUAACGGAUAAUGGCCAAUUGCGGCAAUAACAGGCCGCUAUUCCCGUUAUUUUCCGUUACCGUAAAUUAAAAAAAAUCAAGAGAUGUAGAUAUUGAAUAGUGAUGUACUUUACAAUAAAACAAAAGGGAAUAUAUUCCCCUACCUGCAAAAUCAGAGGGCUUUCAAUCAAAAAAAAGUAAAAACAUAUAUACACUAUACAGAACUUCAAAUAAAUAAAAUAAAAACUCCAAACAAAGUUCAAAACUCACAACACAACUCACAAGCAAACGAAAAUACGAAAUUCUAUUUCUCCAUAUUUCGACAAACAACAGAGUCACAGACAGCAGCAAUAGAAAUUCUAUUCCUAAUUUCAAGUAAGUACUACUAACUAGUAAGUAAAGUAGUAAAGUAACCGAGGCAUAUUCUUGGAUUUCUUUCUUGCAUGUCUUGAAUCUGCAACACGGAGUGGUUUUUCAAGAUUUUUAUCCCUACAUAUGUGUUCUACACAAAAAAAAAGGGUUUAAAAUGUUUUGGGGCAAUUUUUUGACCACCGUGCACGACGGCACCGUCGCUAAUGACCGACGGCUGCCACGGUGGCCGAUGGCCGGAUUCUGGGCAAUGGCUUGAGAGAAAAUGGAGAAUUGAGAGAAAAGGGAAAAAAAUUAAAUAAGGGCUGAAAUGAAGUUUUUGAGAAAAAUAUUGAUUUAAAUAGGCGUCCAAAACGAUGCCAUUUUGGGCAGGCCUCUCAGGCACCAAAACGACAUCGUUUUGGCCUAACCCACGCACUUACCCGACCCGUUUCUUAGGAUCGGCGUGUUUUUGAAUGAAAGGGUUAAUUACGAUUUUAGCCCUUCCUAUUUUUUAUUAUUUACAAUCAAGCUUCUUUCUUUUUUUUAAUUUUGUCCUAUAAUUUAUUUCGUACUUCAAUUUGGUCCACCUUGAAGCUGUGUGUUUUGAUGGGUGGAGAUUAUUUCGCAUUUGAUCCCUUUUUGUUUUUCGCGCAUUCAACUUGGUCAUUUUUCUUUUUAAUUAUUUCUGAUUUGUCGCAAAUUUAUGUUUUUUAGUUCGAUUUGGUCCCUUUUUGUUAUUUUUUCUAUUUUAUUAUUAAAUUAAUUAAAUUAAUAUUACUAUUACUAUUAUUAUUUUUCCUUUUUUUAUUUUAUUAUUUAUUUACUUGUUAUUAUUACCAUAUUAUUAAAAUUUAAUUAGUUUUGCAUUAUUAUUUCAAUUAUAUUUCUUUUCAUAUUUAUUUACCUAAAUAUUUUAAAUACAUUUAUUUUAUUAUAUCAUUUUAUUUAUCUAUAUCCUUUUAUAUAAUUUUUAAUUUUAAGAUUUUUAUUAUUGUUAUUAUUAUUAUUAAUACCAUCAUCAUUAUUAUUAUUAUUAUUAAUACCAUAAUUAUUAUUAAAUUGUUUUACACAAUAUUUAUUUAUUUAUUUCUAUAAUAUUAGGUCUUUACUUUAGCUUUAAAUUUUGUUUACUUUUUUUGGUAUUAUAUUGUUGAUAAUAUAAGUAAUGAGUUGCUUGUAUUUCUAAAUAUAAUUUUAUGUUUCUUAUAUAUAAAUAAAAAUAAAUCAUGUCACCACGUGAAGAGUUCCCGACUGAAGGAUUGGAGGGUGCACCAAGUAAUGAUAUAGGUUGGCACUUUGGAACUCUAGUGCCAAAUGCGAGAGGAAAUAUCGUAUGUAAACUUUGUGGUAAAGUUGUGAAAGGAGGAAUAACACGAUUUAAAGAGCACAUUGCUCAUAAAACCGACAAUGUUGCACCAUGCCCUAAUGUUACUGGUAUGUGAUACUUUAUUAUUAUUUUUAAAUGUUAUUGUAAAUUUAUCAAUAAAGAUUAUAUAUAAUUGAUAAUAAUAUAAAGUGUGAAUUAUUUUUAUUUUAUUAAUAGGUGUCAUUAGAGAAAGUAUGAUGAAUGUACUAAAAGAAAGCAACACAAAGAAAAUAGACAAAAAGAGGAAAAAAGAUGAAUUCUUAUCUCAAUUAAUAGAAGAGAAGGAUGAACACGAGGGAUUCAUUGAUGAGGUUUCUGCUAUAAGGCAAGCAACUCGAGAAAGUAUUCAAUCACAACACGAGUGGCAUAGAAAGGAAGAAUUCAGACGAAGUACUGGUGGUUGGGAUAACAUUUAUGAAGAAGGGCGAUCUUUUCAUGGAUAAGCUAGAGAACAUAAUAAAGAAAGAACAAGUAAAUCCAUCCCAAGUGAGUCUGAGUUUACCUUAAAGGGAGCUAUACCUGAAUUGGUUAGAAGCAAAAGUUCAAAGCAACCAAAGGUCAAUGACUCUUUUUUAAAGACUUUUCGAAGGAAGAUAGGUGACUCGGUAUCUAAAUUUUUAAUAUAUGAAAGACUUCCGUUUCAAUUAGCAAGCUUUCCAUGGUUGUAUAACUUAAUUCAAGUGUCAGCAGAAGUUGGACAAGGUGUAAAGCUUCCAACACCUUAUGAGGUUUCAGAUGUGUAUUUGGAGUCAGUGUAUCAAUGAGUUCGUGAUUGGGUAAAUGGACUAAAGACUCAUUGGAAAGAAUUGUGUGCAACUCUAAUGUGUGAUGGUUGGACCAACAGUUUGAAUCAAAUGCACAUCAUUAAUUUCCUUGUUUAUUGUAGUAAAGGAACCAUUUUUUGGAAAUAGGUAGAUGCCUCAAGUGUCCGUAGUAGAGACGCUGAAUUCUACUACUGUUUGUUAGAUUCAGUUGUAGAAGAAAUUGGAGAAAAUGAUAUUGUCCAAAUAGUGACUGAUAAUGAGGCAACAAUGAAAGCUGCUGGAAAAAAAUUAAUGUUGAAAAGAAAACAUUUAUAUUGGACCUCAUGUGCAGCUCACUGUUUAGAUUUAUGCCUUGAAGAUAUUGGGAAAAAUCCCAGUGUAGCAAAAGUGUUAGAUGAGGCAAAGAAAGUGACUUGCUUUAUAUACAAUCACAUUUGGACUGUUGAUUUGAUGAAGAAGUAUACACAAGGGAAACAAAUACUUCGACCUGCUCUUACUCGAUUUGCAACUCAUUUCAUUCAACUUGAAGAGAUAACAAGACAAAAGCAAGGUCUGUGUAACACCCCUUACCUGUAUCCAACACCGGAAUAGGGUACGAGGCAUUACUAAAACACAUACACUUGUAAACGUAUUUAACUGAGUUAUAAAAUUUCAUCUAAAUUAAAACUUUCAAAAUAAUUAACAUGCUUCUAUAAAUUUUCGCAAUAUAUCCUCAAAAUAUUAUAAUCAUAAUAAUUAGGGCCUACGAAACCCGAUACAUACUCAUGCAAUUCAAUGCUUCAUUUCCAUUCCGUUCAAUUCGCAAUUUCUCAUGCUCACAAUUUAAAUCAUAUCACUAGCAAUUUCCAUUUAAUUCACGUACAACUCAAUGACAUUAAGUUCAACACUAAUACAUACUUACCAUUUAACUCAACGUUUAUCGAUUAUACCAUUCAAUAACACAUUUAUGAAAUUCUCAAUUUUGCAAUGAAAAUGUCACUUUAAAAUAGCAACAUCAUCCUGGUAUAAAUACACUACCACUUAACCAUUUACUUUAAUUCUUUUGGGCCUAUUUGUCACUUACCAUCCUUAAUCAAAUUAGGGAACAGUUACGGAAAAUUGAGUACUUCACUUCCACUUUGCCAUAGUAUAACUAUGGUCUUACGUAUGAUCACUUAUCACUUGUCCCUGAUUAGAUAAGUGUAGCUAGGCUACCACUUAUCACUUUGUCAUUUGAUCAGAUAAGUGUAGCUAAAGCUACCACUUAUCACUUUGUCACUUGAUCAGUUAAGUGUAGCUAAAGCUACCACUUAUCACUUUGUCACUUGAUCAGAUAAGUGUAGCUAAAGCUAUCACUUAUCACUUUGUCACUUGAUCAGAUAAGUGUAGCUGAAGCUACCACUUAUCACUUUGUCUCUUGAUCAGAUAAGUGUAGCUAAAACUACCACUUAUCACUUUGUCUCUUGAUCAGAUAAGUGUAGCUAAAGCUACCACUUAUCACUUUGUCACUGAUCAGAAGUACUCAAAUCUGGUGUUCCGCUCAAUUUGAUCAUUUAUUCGGUUUUCGCAUUUUUAUUUUAUUCUCAUUUCAAAAAUAAAUAUAUCUCAUCAUACAUUAUAUAAUUCAUGAAAUUAACAUUUAAUCAUUAAUUUUCAGCCAUAUGAACUUACUAUUUCAUUACCUUUUCACACUCAUUUCCUAUGCACAUCACACAAGAUAUAAACAUAUCAUUCAACCAUAGUCGCAAGCUAGUACAUUGAAACAUAAUUCAUUUUGGAAAUAAUCACAUAAUAAGCCAUUUCAUUAAAGAUUUCAUAAUUUAAACCUUACCACCCCUUUCAUGAUCACAAUAUUUAGUCAUAUAUCAAACUUUCCAACAUGUGUUAAUUCAAUACCCAUUCACGAUAUUCUUCAUGUCAAAUCACAUACCAAAAAUACAAUACACACAUACUAUAAACUUUAUUUUCCCACAUGAGCUUAAACUAUGACCAAUACUGCACAAAUAUAUGCAUCAUUUCUAUUUCAUCGUUUAUCAAUUUUAAUUAAGAAUAUGACCAGUUAUACACAAAUCACUCAUAUAUUUCCCAAUUUUUCCUCCUCCUCCUCUCUGUCGAAACCAUUUUUUUGAAAACAAAAAUUUAGUUGUCGACUUUUAAAAAAAUAAAACUAGAGCCACCACCGAUCUGUGAUUUAGGUGUGAUUAGCCCACCUUAAAAACAAAUUUGGUCUACGAAAUUUGAGAAAAUGGGUUCGGGAGUCAGUUACGCACGAAGAAGGGUUAGCACCCUCGUAACGCACAAAAUCGGUACUGAAUUUGAUUAUUUAAUGUCUUGGUGUCGAAAAUUAAAAAGAUUUUGUUAAACUCAAAUGUUGAAAUCUGAAAAGGAUAAUCAAUUAUUCAAGUCAGACAAAGAAAUUGAGACCCAAUACGUUAGGGUACAAUUUCUUAAAAUCUCCGAACUUUGAAUAUCACUUUUUCUUUAUAAGUAAAUUUUCAUCUCAAGGAAGCAAUUAUGUCAUGCCCAAUACCUUAGGACACAACAAAUUAAGUUCCCAAAAAUGAUUUUUACUUAUACAUUUUGAAUAACGAAUAUUCUCGGUUAUUUGGAAUUAACAAAGAAAAUCGGAACCCAAUAUGUUAAGGCUCAAUUUCCUCGAAAAUUCCUAACUUUGAAUAUCAUUUUUAUUUUAAAAACCUUUGGCAAAAUCAAAAUAUAUUUUUAAAGGAUAUGUUAAAAAUGUUGAUGUAAUAUGAAACAAAUAUUUUAAUUUAAAUUAUAUGUAUAUGUGUUUACAAAAUGUGUAUAUAUUGUAUAAAACGUAUAAACAUAUUUAAAUUAUAUAGUACGGGACAACAUAUAAAUAUUAUAAAAUAUAAACGUAUAUACAUAUAUAUAAAACUAUGAAAAUAAAAUAAUAAAAUAUGUAUAUAAUAUGUAUAUAUUUAAAAACGUUUAGAAUGUAUAUAUGUAUUAGCAUGCAUAUGCGCAUAUAUAUAAAAGUAUAAUGAUAAUAAUAUAUAAUAAUAAUAAUAAUAAUAAUAACAAUAACAAUAUUAAUAAAAUAAAUUAAAAACCUAAAUUGAAAGAUAAAAUUAAAUUAAAAACCAAGAGAAUUUAAAAGCUAAAUUCAAAAAAAUAAAAACAAGAAAGGGAGUAAAAUAAAACACGCAGAAUAGGAGGAGGACCGAAAAAACAAUUUACCCAAACCUCAUAAAAUGCUGCGUAGCAUUGGACCUAUUUGAAACAGUAAUAAAAUAUUUUUCCAAAUUUAAAAGAAAUAAAAAGCAAUUUAGAAACACUGCACAAAACAGGGGGACCAAUUGCGAAAAUAGUCCACCAGGGAUUAAAACAGGCAAAUCCAUGGCCAUUAAACGACACUGUUUUAGUAUACUGCAUAAAAAGCCAUUUAAAACUUGUUUUAAAACAAAAAUAGGUCACUUUACUUUUUGUUUGAAAACACAACAGCAGACUUAGCCCCCCUCUGCCGUUUCAGACUCCGACGAAGCGAAGACGCCCUCUGACGACUCUCAUGACGGUAAGUCCUCCUUUCUUUCUCCUUUUUCAUUUAUUCGUUUUAAGAAAUCGAAGAAAAACCAAAAAAUAAUGAAAACAGUACCAAAAAAAUAGAGGAAAAAGAGAACCAAAAUUUAUCACCUUCAAAAAAAAAUCUCUUUUCUCUCUUGUAUUUUCUUUUUAAUUUUUCAAUACAGAAUUUUGCUAACCCCGUUUACAAAAAUCCAUUUGGCUUUAAUAGCUGAAAUAAGGGAAUCAAAACUCCCAAAAACUAUUUUCUCUUUUUCUCCAUUUUUCCCUUGUAUUUUCUACUAUCAUCUUUGUUCGUGGUCAUGAUUUGUUACAGGUGUAGGCAUUGGAGAACGUGGGUUGUGCGAGGGAAAUGUGCUGUGACGGAGGCGAUAACUGCUGGAGGAAGAACGGUUUCUGCGGCAUGGGCAGUUGCUUCAAUCUGCUUAGGGUUUCUUUAGCUGUUAUGAGUUUGGGCCAUUAGGGUUAGGUCUAGGUAGGCCUGAUGUUUUGGGUCAUUGUUUUAUUUUUAGUAUUUGAUUUGGGCUGUGUAAAUGGUUUUGGGCUUUAGGCUUAGUUGGGCCCGGGUCAAAAAUUAGGUAUUACAGCUGCCCCUCUUUGCUCGUUGUCGUGUAACGGGAACAGAGCAAAGACUAAAAACCCAAUUUUGCCUGGUCAUGUUAGACCUUGGUGCUCUUCUUCUUCUUUAAAUAGCCUCAUUCCUUCCUACGGCAUCUUCAAAGGUAUAGGAACUAGUGCUUCGAUCCACUCCAUUGCAACAUCAAGGAGACAGGACUUGUACCUUGUAGCUUCUCAAAAGAACAAAACUUGCAAUCUCUAGUCUGCUCCACCGUAACUUCAGAGAGAUAAGACUCGUAGCUUCAACUUAUUCUGCUGCAACUUCAAAGAUGAGUCUGAUACGAUCUGCUCUACUUCUUAAAUUUAUCCAAUUACAAUGUCGAGGAAACAAGAUCCGCCGUCGUAGCUUCAAUCUGUUCAACUGCACCGCUAAGGAGGUAAGAUCCGUCGUUGUGGUUUCAAUCUUUUUAAUUACGCUGUCGGGGAAACCAGAUCCGCUGUUGUGACUUCAAUCUACUUCACUGCACUGCCAGGGAAGUAAGAUCCGCUGUUGUGGCUUCAAUCUUUUUAAUUAUGCUGUCGGGGAAACUAGAUCUGCCGUUGUAACUUCAAUCAGCUCCACUGCACCGCCAGGGAAGUAAGAUCUGCCGUUGUGGCUUCAAUCUUUUUAAUUGCGCUGUCGGGGAAACCAGAUCUGCCAUUGUGACUUCAAUCUGCUCCACUGCACCGCCAGGGAAGUAAGAUCCGCCAUUGUGGCUUCAAUCUUUUUAAUUACGCUGUCGGGGAAACUAGAUCUGUCGUUGUGACUUCAAUCUGCUCUACUGCACCGCCAGGGAAGUAAGAUCUGCCGUUGUGGCUUCAAUCUUUUUACUGUACUGUCAAGGUAAUAAGACUGGUGUCUUCGAUCUGCUUAACCGUCAGUACAGGAAUGUAAGAUCUGCCAUUUUCGACCUACUCCACUACUACCCAGAGAGACAAGGCUGGUAUCUUCGAUCUGCUUCGCUGCCAGUAAAGAAAUGUAAGAUCUGUCAUUUUCAACCUACUCCACUACUACCCAGGGAGACAAGGCUGGUAUCUUCGAUCUGCUUCGCUGCUAGUAAAGAAAUGUAAGAUCUGUCAUUUUCAACCUACUCCACUACUACCCAGGGAGACAAGGCUGGUAUCUUUUAUCUGAUUCGCUAUCAGUACAGGAAGGCAAGAUCUAUUAUUUUCAACCUGCUCCGCUACUGCCCAGGGAGACAAGGCUGAUAUCUUCGAUCUGCUUCUCUGUCAGUACAGGAAGGCAAGAUCUGCUAUUUUCAACCUGCUCUGCUACUGCCCAGUGAGACAAGGCUGGUAUAUUCGAUCUGUUUCUCUGUCAGUACAGGAAGGCAAGAUCUGCUAUUUUCAACCUACUCCACUACUACCCAGGGAGACAAGGCUGGAUCUUUGAUCUGCUUCGUUGUCAGUACAGGAGGCAAGAUCUGCUAUUUUCAACCUGCUCCGCUACUGCCCAGGGAUACAAGGCUGGUAUCUUCGAUCUGCUUCGCUGUUAGUACAGAAAGGCAAGAUCUGCUAUCUUCAGUCUGCUCCGCUGCAAACUCAGGAAGGCAAGGCUGAAGUCUUUGAUCUGCUUCGCUGUCAGUACAGGAAGGCAAGAUCUGCUAUUUUCAACCUGCUCUGCUACUGCCCAGGGAGACAAGGCUGGUAUCUUCGAUCUGCUUCUCUGUCAGUACAGGAAGGCAAGAUCUGCUAUUUUCAACCUACUCCGCUACUGCCCAGGGAGACAAAGCUGGUAUCUUCGAUCUGCUUCUCUGUCAGUAUAGGAAGGCAAGAUCUGCUAUUUUCAACCUACUCCACUACUGCCCAGGGAGACAAGGCUGGUAUCUUCGAUCUGCUUCGCUGUCAGUACAAGAAGGCAAGAUCUGUCAUUCUCAACCUACUCUACUACUGCCCAGGGAGACAAGGCUGGUAUCUUUGAUCUGCUUCGCUGUCAGUACAGGAGUGCAAGAUCUGCUAUUUUCAACCUGCUCCGCUACUGCCCAGGGAGACAAGGCUAGUAUCUUCGAUCUGCUUCUCUGUCAGUACAGGAAGGCAAGAUCUGUCAUUUCCAACCUACUCCACUACUGCCCAGGGAGACAAGGCUGGUAUCUUCGAUCUGCUUCGCUGUCAGUACAGGAAGGCAAGAUCUGCUAUCUUCAGUCUGCUCCGCUGCAAACUCAAGAAGGCAAGGCUGAAGGUUCACCGGUUUGUCCUUUGAGGAACAUGACCUGUAUAAUUCAACUUAUGAACCUAAUUAUGCCUAGUGAUUAGGAUAUCAUGAUCAGAAUGAAUUAAAUGCUCCUAGCUAGACAUAUAUGAAUGACGUUUGAAUGAAUUCAGAAUGUCAUUAUUGCGAGAAUGAUCCCGCUUAGGCAGUCAUUACUCAAAGUUUAUUAAAGCCGUAUCACCGACGCACUACAACGUCCUCUUGCUUGGCUAGCAUCUCUAAAAAACACUCAAUCAAAUUGCCCCCCACUGUGAACUUCAAAGUUCAAUCUACUGGGAUGUAACUUGGUACCAUUUCUCUCCCGCUGUAACCCAAGGGUAGAAAAAAAUAUGGCCUCUCAAUCUUCUCUUAUCGCAAGGUGAAGGACUUUGGUCCUUUAUACUGUUUUCAAGGCGUCAUACCAAAUGCCUAUGCACAAAUGAAAAAUUUCUUUCUCCAAGGAAACCUCUUCUUAUUGCAAUGUAAUCAUUGCUUUCUUGUUCAUUGACGCUUUGUCACCCAUACGACAUCUUGACACUUUGUUCAAUCAAUGUUUUGACAACAAAAUCUGAAGGGAUAGUCUCAAUUUAGACCUUUCCUUCCCAGAUAUUUCAACCGUUAAAUUUAGACCUUUCCUUCCCAGAUAUUUCAACCUUUAAACUUGGUGCAUUCUAAACAAUAGUCCUGUUUCAGGUUACUGUAUUAUUUAGAAACUUCUAGAGUAAUAUGCAAAACUUCUCUUGUGAAAGUUUUAUUAGUCCAUUGAUUAUUAUUCUAAUGCAACACAUUUGCAAAAAGAACAAAAUAAAAGAUAAAAUAAAAUUGGUUUGAGAACAUAGCUUGAAAAAACAUAUUAUCAAGAAUAUUAAGAAUUUAAGAGGAAUUGACUCGUAUCUUGAAAAAGAAUGAAGUAUUCCAAGAACAGGCAAUUCAAUAUAAAUAGUAUGAAGACUAGGUGCCCCAUAUAACGCAGCUUGAACUUCUCUGUACAAACUUUCUGAAGACCAUUCUGAGUUUGAUAUGUGUUUAGGAUAUCUACAAUACUCUGUCGAUGCCCCAAGAUAUCGCAUACCCUUUCCUGCUGAUUCAGGUAUAUCAAGACCACCACAUGCCCCAUUCCAAUCAAAAUCUGAGCCACUCUGAUCACUUCCAGCCCUAUUCUGAUCAAAAUUUGAGCAGCCUUUUUCGGGUUUUCAACUCAAAUCCCCUUUGGUCUAAGGUGCCCUUUGCGGGUUUUCACCUUAGACUCUCUAUUUUUACUUUUUCCAUUUUUUAUUUUUUAUUUUUCAUUUUUAUUUUUUCACAUCUUUUUUUCUUCUUCUUUUUUUUUGCGACUCAAAGUGCCUUUUGCAGGUUUUUACCUUGGUCCUCUCCUUCUUUAAGCGAAGUAUUUCUUGACUAAUUCUGAGUUUACAGGAUUAGACAAGUUUUUACUAUCCAUCUCACUCAAGAUCAGUGCUCCUCCAGAAAAAGUCUUCUUUACAACAUAAGGACAUUCCCAAUUUGGCACUCAUUUUUCUCUAAAAUCCUUUUGUAGAGGAAGGAUCUUUUUCAAUACCAGGUCUCCCUCGUGAAAUUCUCUGGGACGAACCCCUUUUUUGUUGUAAGCUCGCAUCAUCCAUUUUUGAUACAUCUGGCCAUGACGAAUAGCUUUUAGCCUAUUUCCUUCAAAUGAUCUUAUUGAGAUUGGAUCUUCAUCCUACUUCAGCUCAGCCGAUACCCGAAGAGAAAGAAUUUUAACUUCAAUGGAAAAACCAUGAUAAGCUAAAGAGAAAGACAUUGCCUCGGUAGAGGUUUUUUUUGUUUUUGUUUUUAUUUUUUAUUUUUUAUUUUUUAUUUUUUAUUUUUUAUUUUUUAUUUUUUAUUUUUUAUUUUUUUUUAUUUUUUCCUUUUUUUUGCAUUGAAUCUGCACUCAUAGUAUUAGGCAAGUCCUGGUCAUCCCUUUCGAUCAGAAUCAAUAUUAUUCCAGAUAAGGUCUUCUCCAUAAGAUCUUCCACUUUUAUUUUGUAUGUAAAAGAUUUUCUUUGACAUCAGGUUUCUCUUAUAGAGCCUUUUGGGGCGAAAUUUAACUAUGACGAGAAGAUUUUAGAUCUUCCUCUUCAAUUAGGAUGAAAUCCAACAAAAAUACAGAAAAAUGGCAACUUGAUUUCAACGGACAAAACUAUGAUGAACCAAAGAAGAAGGCAUUGCCCCGGCAAAGAAUUCUAACUGCAUCGUUCAUAAUGUGAAUUUUGAACAUACUGCAAAUUUUUGACGUCGUGUUGUUGCUCAGAUUACAAUAUCAGUGCUUAACCUGGGCAUGUCCUGAUGUGAUCAUGCGAAGACAUCUUUGAACCCUUAAGGCAACUCAACAAGGUCUUGCUUUGUUUCUCCGGUUAUGCACGUUCGUUUGAAAUCCCAAUCUCCAUUGUCUCUUCAAGAGGUAAAAUUUGUUCUCUUCUUGCUCUACCAUUCUCAACAAGUCUGGAGAUAGGCUACGAUCUAUGUCAUCUUCAAAGUCAUGAGAUCCCUCUAAACACAUGUCUUACUCAAAAGGAGAUUCUAAAUCUGUAGCAGUGUCAUUCAUGACAUUGAUAUCUGGGGGCCCAUAAUAAAUACCAAAGAAUAUACAAAAGAAUGUAUAAAUUUAUGAAGAACUAUCUAUACAAUAUGAUUAUAAAUGAAUGAAUGAUGUGGAAGAAAAUCCAAAAGAAUGAAAGAAUAACUAUUCAGACAGACUGAAAGAAUAUUGGUUCAAAAAUGAUCGCAAGGAUGCGUUUCAUUAAAAUAACGACAUUCAGACAUGAGCCUAUUUCACAAAGGAAUUCUUAUUACCUUUAGGCUAAAAGCAACAAGUGUGUUUUGAACAUUGCUCUAAAUAAGCCCUAAAUACUACAAAUAUUUCUUCUGCAGUUCGAUUGCUUAAAACACUCCCAGGUUUACAAAGGUGGAUACCUAACAAGGUCCCUUUUCGAUUGUGUCUUCAUCUAUGGCAUUGAUGUGAACGCCUCUCAACACUUCUUCAUGCAUCACAUUCACCCCAUUAUCAAAUGUGAUUAGGUAGCGGAUUUUUUUCACUGGAUGAAUCGUCAAAUUUGACAACGCCCAUACUGAUAAGCCUUUCAACCACUUUUUUAAAGGCAAUGCAAUUUUCUAUAGAAUGUCCCGUAAUUCCUGCAUGAUAAUCGCAUUGUGCACUUGCGUCGUACCAUUUGGGGUACGGAGACUGUGGAGGUUUUGAGUAGAAAGGGGAAACAACGUGAGCAUUGAACAAGCUUUGAUAUAGCUCCUUAUACGACAUUGGAAUUGGCGUGAACUGGAGUUUCUCAGUACCUUGCUUCACACCUGAUUCUUGUCUUGAUGAACCCUGCUGAUUAGCAACCACCUUUCUUGGCUGAUUCACCGUAAUCAAUUUACUGUACGUAUUCACGCUGUUCACCUUAUUUUCUUUUUCCUUUGGGGCUUGCCUUCUAUUAUUUCCUCCAGCAUCAAUCUUUUCGCUCCUAAUAGCACUCUCAAUCAUCUCACCACUCAUAACUAUGUCAUAAAAGCUUUUUGUGGCACUUCCCAACAUAUGUGUGAUGAAUUGGGCCUUCAACGUAUUUAUAAAGAGCAUCACCAUUUCUCUUUAAAUGAGCGGUGGUUGGACUUGAACUGCAACCUCAUUCUAUCUCUGUGCAUACUGCCUAAAGCUUUCAUUCGACUUUUUCUCCAUGUUCUGUAAGGUAAUCCUAUCAAGAACCAUUUCUGCUACAUGACUGUACUGUUUCAUAAAAGCCUGUGCUAAAUCCCUCCAAGAGCUAAUCCAAGCACGACUUAAUUGAUUAUACCAUUUAGAGGCUGCCCCCAUGAGGCUAUCUUGAAAACAGUGUAUCAAUAACUGGUCAUUAUUGACAUACCUAGUCAUUCGUUUACAAAACAUGGUAAUGUGGGCCUCAGGGCAAGUGGUCCCAUUAUACUUCUAGAAAUCUGACAUUUUAAACUUGUAAGGGAGCACUAAAUCCGGUACCAAACUUAAAUCCUUAGCAUCAAUUCCAUGGCAUUUUUCAGUAGUUUCCAUUGCUUUGAAUUUCUCCUCAAUCCACUUCCAUCUUUCUUCUAAUUGCUUUGGUAAUUCCUCUUUUGUUUUCUCUUUUCCAACUACUUCAUCGAAAUCAGGGACAAUAGGAUUAGUAGGAUUGUUCUCAGGACUAGAGCCUGAUCUGACCUGAAAAUUCAUUGACCUCAAAGCAUUGGCCUGAAAUUGUUGGGGCCUAAUCGUAACAGAAGAUUUACGGGGGUACACUUCCGCUUGGUGCUACACAUGUAGAGGAGUGAAGCCUGGAGGAUACUGGAGUCCAUCCUCAACUUCCUCUUCAAUAUUUGUUACAGGGCUCUUUCCCUUAUCUUUUCCUUUAGUCAACAAUCGCGUUAACUUUGUCAUCAUGCUUCCUUGUGAUUCCUCCAUUUUAUCCAUCAAACUUUGUUGAAUCUUCUCGAGUUGUUCCUUCAUUUGCUGUUGAAGCUGAUCCUGUAUUUCUUUUUGAAACUGCUCGAGCUUUUCCAACCUUUGGUCCAUAUUUUUUUAAUUUCGCUCUUGUACCGUAAUGGUGCUGGGUUGGCUGGUUGGUUUCCAGGUUAACUGAGGCAUGAUUUUAAUCAAUUAGGCUCUUUUAAUGGAUUUUAAUGCAUACAAUGCCAUGUCAUGCGAAUGCAUGAAAUGAAUUAAUAAAGAGACGUUGAUUCUGAUUCAAUUCUAUUUAGAAAACUUCACUAAAAGACAAACUUCUUUACAUAAAAAGGAUGCGUGUACGGCCUCGCCCUCAUACUCUAAGAAACAUCGACCUCUUUCUUUAUCCGGAUGUUUAAGAUAAACCUUGCGAACUUCCAAAGGAUGUCAUUGGUAGCUCCUUCUGCUUGAUUCUGGUUGCAAUCCGUUGUCUACCUAUCCUCGCAAUGCUCAUCAGCUUCUUUAAGGAAGUUGGAAUGUCGGUAGCUCUCGAAUAAUCAGCUUGAAUCCUCGGGCCACGAAAUAAAGUCAUGAACUCUUCCAUCACCCUUCUCGAGUUUCUCAGGAUAUAUUCAGGCAACUGUAUUAUCUUCUAUUUUAUCAAGAAAUCCGUAUUCCAUGACAAGCUUUCUAAGUUAGUAAUCAAACUUGAAUCAACAUCUCUUUUCUAAGAUGCAAAUGCAAUGCAAUCAAAAUGUCAUGCAGUCAAAACAAAACACAACAAGUUAGUAUCAGGUAUAAAGCAAACAGAAAAUAAUGAAAUACCUACUUGGGUAACUACUAGGGUUUGGUAUAAUUCUACCUAGGGUAAGUUUCUAAAGUUCACUGUAUGAGGUUUGGCUUCUAGAGAAAGGUACCCGAACCAGCAGAUUCCUCGAUCCUCACCCAUCAUAGGCUCAUAUGGACCGAGUUCGGUUCAGGGGAAUACAUUUCCCUAUGGCUACACGGAGAUGAAAAUCUCACGAAGAAAUAGGUACGGAUGUAUCCCGAAAGUGAUCCACUAUCCUGCACGGAGGUGAAAACCUCACGAAGGAACAACUUCUCACUCCCACUUAGAGGGGUAAAAUUGACCAUGAAAUGCAAAAUGCAAAUAAACUAAAAGACUUAGACCAAUUAAACAAACAUAUCAUGAUAAAAACCAAUGAAUGCAAAAGAGGAAAUCGUGAUUUAAAAAAAUUUAAAACCUUUCCGACAAAAAGACAAAAACUAAUCAAUUUAUGGCUCGACUCUCUAUUGUCCCCAGCGGAGUUGCCAAACUGUCGAAACCAUUUUUUUUAAAACAAAAAUUUAGUUCUCGACUUUUAAAAAAAUAAAACUGGAGUCGCCACCGAUCCGUGAUUUAGGUGUGUUCAGCCCACCUUAAAAACAAAUUUGGUCUACGAAAUUUGAGAAAAUGGGUUCGGGAGUCAGUUACGUACGAGGAAGGGUUAGCACCCUCGUAACGCCCAAAAUCGGUACCGAAUUUGAUUAUUUAAUGUCUUGGUGUCGAAAAUUAAAAAGAUUUUGUUAAACUCAAAUGUUGAAAUCUGAAAAGGAUAAUCAAUUAUUCAAGUCAGACAAAGAAAUUGAGACCCAAUACGUUAGGGUACAAUUUCUUAAAAUCUCCGAACUUUGAAUAUCACUUUUUCUUUAUAAGUAAAUUUUCAUCUCAAGGAAGCAAUUAUGUCAUGCCCAAUACCUUAGGACACAACAAAUUAAGUUCCCAAAAAUGGUUUUUACUUAUACAUUUUGAAUAACGAAUAUUCUCGGUUAUUUGAAAUUAACAAAGAAAAUCGGAACUCAAUACGUUAGGGCUCAAUUUCCUCGAAAGUUCCUAACUUUGAAUAUCAUUUUUAUUUUAAAAACCUUUGGCAAAAUCAAAAUAUAUUUUUAAAGGAUAUGUUAAAAAUGUUGAUGUAAUAUGAAACAAAUAUUUUAAUUUAAAUUAUAUGUAUAUGUGUUUACAAAAUGUGUAUAUAUUGUAUAAAACGUAUAAACAUAUUUAAAUUAUAUAGUACGGGACAACAUAUAAAUAUUAUAAAAUAUAAACGUAUAUACAUAUAUAUAAAACUAUGAAAAUAAAAUAAUAAAAUAUGUAUAUAAUAUGUAUAUAUUUAAAAACGUUUAGAAUGUAUAUAUGUAUUAGCAUGCAUAUGCGCAUAUAUAUAAAAGUAUAAUGAUAAUAAUAUAUAAUAAUAAUGAUAAUAAUAAUAAUAAUAACAAUAACAAUAUUAAUAAAAUAAAUUAAAAACCUAAAAUGAAAGAUAAAAUUAAAUUAAAAACCAAGAGAAUUUAAAAGCUAAAUUCAAAAAAAUAAAAACAAGAAAGGGAGUAAAAUAAAACACGUAGAACAGGAGGAGGACCAAAAAAACAAUUUACCCAAACCUCCUAAAAUGCUGCGUAGCAUUGGACCUAUUUGAAACAGUAAUAAAAUAUUUUUCCAAAUUUAAAAUAAAUAAAAAGCAAUUUAGAAACACUGCACAAAACAGGGGGACCAAUUGCGAAAGUAGUCCACCAGGGAUUAAAACAGGCAAAUCCUUGGCCAUUAAACGACACUGUUUUAGUAUACUGCAUAAAAAGCCAUUUAAAACUUGUUUUAAAACAAAACUAGGUCACUUUACUUUUUGUUUGAAAACACAACAGCAGACUCAGCCCCCCUCUAUCGUUUUAGACUCCGACGAAGCGAAGACGCCCUUCGACGACUCUCACGACGGUAAGUCCUCCUUUCUUUCUCCUUUUUCGUUUAUUCGUUUUAAGAAAUCGAAGAAAAACCAAAAAAUAAUGAAAAUAGUACCCAAAAAAAAGGAAAAAGAGAACCAAAAUUUAUGACCUUCAAAAAAAAAAUCUCUUUUCUCUCUUGUAUUUUCUUUUUAAUUUUUCAAUACAGAAUUUUGCUAACCCCAUUUACAAAAAUCCAUUUGGCUUUAAUAGAUUAAAUAAGGGAAUCAAAACUCCCAAAAACUACUUUCUCUUUUUUUCCAUUUUUUCCUUUGUAUUUUCUGCUAUUAUCUUUGUUCGUGGUCAUGAUUUGUUGUAGGUGUGGGUAUUGGAGAACGUGGGUUGUGUGAGGGAAACGUGCUGUGACGGAGGCGAUAACUGCUGGAGGAAGAACGGUUGCUGCGGCGUGGGCAGUUGCUUCAAUCUGCUUAGGGUUUCUUUAGCUGUUAUGAGUUUGGGCCAUUAGGGUUAGGUCUAGGUGGGCCUGAUGUAUUGGGUCAUUGUUUUAUCUUUAAUAUUUGAUUUGGGCUGUGUAAAUGGUUUUGGGCUUUAGGCUUAGUUGGGCCCGGGUCAAAAAUUGGGUAUUACACUCUCCAUUCCACAUCCUUAAUGUGUAUAACACACUUAAACAACACUAGCUAUAAUUUCACUAUUCACUCACUUGUAUAUUCAAAGCUAUUUAUCUGAGUCAGGGUCACUAAAUUAUUUUUAUCCGGAGAUAAAGAGCUCCAAAUUAAGAUCCGUUAAUUUUCCCUAAGAUAGACUUACAUACCUUCUUACCAUAAAAUUUUCAGAAUUUUUGGUUCGGCCAAAUAGUACAGUUUAUUCUUUAAAGUUUCCCCUGUUUCGCUGUCUGACAGUUCCGACCACUCUUCACUAAAAAUGAAUUAUCUAAUUGUACAGAAUUCAGAUGAUGUUUUUGUUUAUUUCCUUUGAAAAUAUACUCAUUAAGGAUUCUAAUCAUAUAAAUUAUAACUCAUAAUUAUUUUUCUUCAAUUUUUGAUGAUUUUCCAAAAUCAGAACAGGGGAACCCGAAAUCAUUCUAACAUUGUCUCACAAAAUUUAUUAUAUCUCAUGAUUUACAAUUCCAUUGCUUACACUGUUUCUUCUAUGAGAAACUAGACUCAAUUAGCUUUAAUUUCAUAUUUUAUUCACCCUCUAAUUAAAUUUCCACAAUUUUUUGUGAUUUUUCAAAGUUAUACUACUGUUUCUGUCCAAAACUGCAUUAGUGCAAAAUGUUGAUUUCCUUUUUGCCCCAAAUUUCACAGUUUAUACAAUUCGGUCCUUUCUCAAUUAACUCCUCAAUUAAUUUAAUUUUCUAAAUUAAUACUUUACCUAGACAUUAUAAGUUGUUUCAAAACUAUUGAAAUUCAAAAUUUCCACAUAUAACUCUAUCUUCAAACUCUUUUACUAUUAGGUCUCAAACAUUCACUUUCUAUUCAAUUCUUUCAAUAAAAUCAGCAUAUGAACAAUUUAAAGCUCUAAUUCCAUGCUAAAUCAUCAUAUACUUCCAGCAUGUGUUCAUAGCAACUUUCAACUUUUUUAAUAGAAUCAAAAACUAAUGAAUACAAUAAGUGGGCCUAGUAGUAAAAGUCACAAAAACACAAAAUUUUCAAAAAAUAAUCAAGAAUUGAACUUACCUGCAGUAAAAAUAGGAAGAACCAGCUUAAGGAAACCCUUCUAUGGUGUUUUUGCUGAUGAGAAUGCAGAAAAAUAAAGAGAAAUCUAGAUAAUUCCACUUUGGUCCUAACUUUAUUAAGUAAAUUUUGCAAUAUUCCAAUUUUGCCCUUAAUUCUCCUUACUUUGUUGCUGAUUUCAUGCCUUUGCCGUCCAGCCCAAAUAGACCUUGGGUCCAUUUGCCUUUUAAGCCCUCUUCCUUUUAUCAUUUAAGCUAUUUAAUCAUUUCCCAUAAUUUUGCAUUUGUUACAAUUUAGUUCUUUUUGUUCAAUUAAUUAUCGGAACUUUAAAAUUUCUUAACGAAACUUUAAUACUAACUUUUUAACACUACAUAAAUAUUUAUAAAAAUAUUUAUGGCUCGGUUUAAAAUCCCCGAGGUCUCGAUACCUCAUUUUCGAUUCUAAUUAUUUUAAUAUUUAUUUCUAGUAUACUAUUCACUAUUUCAAAAAUUUUCCUAACUUCACAUUUAACUUAUACUCACUAAAUUAAUAAUAUUUUCUACCCAUUUUUUGAAUUUAAUGAUCUCGAAUCACCGUUCCGACACCUCUGAAAAUUCAGACCAUUACAUUUUCCUCGUCGGAUUUGUGGUCUCAAAACCACUGUUCUGACUAGACCCAAAAUCGGGCUGUUACAGUCUGAGAGAAAUGUUUAAUUCAAAGGUCAGUAUUUUAUAAUUAGUUAAUAUAAUUACUUAAAUAUAGCAACCUUUAAUGAUUUUAUUACUUCCAAAUAAUUUAAAUUAUAUUAUUUUAAAAAUUUUCUUAUGAAUAUAUAGGAAUUUAAAGAAUCAAAAUGGGGACAGCAAAAGUCAGGGUCUACUUAUGAAACCAAAAAAAUUGUUUUGGGAAAAGAUUUUUGGAAAAAAGCCAAUGACCUCAUAAAAGUUUACGAGCCUCUAGUAAAAGUAUUGAGACUUGUGGAUAGCGAUGAAAAACCAACAAUGAGCUUUAUUUAUGAGGCUGUUGAUAGAGCUAAACGAGCAAUUCAACAAAAUUGUCUAUAUUUCACUGAGUAUGAAAAGAUUAUUGACAAUAGAUGGAAUUUUAUGCAUUUCGACUUGCAUUCAGCUGGUAAGAUAAAAUGUUUCAUAUAAUUAAGAACUAUUUUUAUAUUUUAUUAUUUUAAGCUUUAGAUUAUUAUUAUUUGAUGAUAUUCUUAUAAAUUAUACUUAGGUUCUUUUCUCAAUCCUCAAUUUCAAUUUGGGGUGGAGCAUUCUGAAAAUGUACUAAUAGAAACAUUAGAAGGUACACAAUCAGCAAUUGAAAGAUUAGAACCUUCUCUUGAUACUCAAGUCAGAAUGGUUAAUCAAGUUAGAUUCAAGUACUAUUAUUUGUAACUUAGUUACAUAAUUUGAAAUAGAAUUUUUAUUUUUAUUUUUAAUCUAUCUUUUAUUUAUGCAGUUGUUACUAUUUAGAGAAAAACAUGAGACAUUCGAUACUCCACAAGCACAAAGAGCUUGGAAGCAAAUGAAUUCGGGUAAACAGUUAAUUAAAUUAUUUAAUUUAAUUUAUAUUAUUUAAUUAUAUUGUACAUUUUGAAGUUAUUUUGAAAUUUAAAUAAUAUUAUGCAGCUAAGUGUUGGAUAAUAUACGGCACAUGUGUUCCCGAAUUACAAAAAUUAGCAAUCAAAGUGCUUAGUCAAACAACUUCAGCAUCAAAUUACGAACGAAAUUGGAGCACAUUUAGUUAUAUUCACACCAAGGUAAGAAAUAGGUUAAAGUAUAAAAAACUUGAAAAACUAGUGUUUACCUAUUAUAAUAUGAGGCUUCAGAUAAGGCAUCAAAAAAGAAUGAGCACUGAUGAUACAAAUGCUAGUUUUAAUCCUAUUAGCCUUGAUCAUGUCUUUGAAGAUGUUGAUCCACUAUCAUAAUGGCUUCAUGAGAAAGAGAAUCCAUUGUUAGAUGGUGAAAAUUCCGGUGUGUUGCCUGUGGAUACCUCUGAUGAUGAAAUAGAUGUUGAUCAAUCUCAACAACAAAUUUUGUCUCAUUCAAGUUCUAGUUCAACUCCAAGUCAGAGUGGCGAUGGACCUGAUGGUGGUGGUUUAAGUCCAAUUGAUGAGGAUGAUGGAUAUAGUGGUGAUAGAGGUGAAAUUAGGUCUUCUAGUUAGUAUGGAGGAGAAUAUGGGGUUGGUACCACUGGUGGACAUUUUCGUGACAGAUCAGAGUUUGAUGGAAAUAUGUUUCCUAAACCUAAGGGAGAUAAAAGUGAACCUAAAGCUCCAUCAAAGGGAAAAGGCAAAAAACAUACUUCUAUAGGCUCUUCAUCUGGUAGGAGAUCGAGUUCUAGUAACCUUGGGUAUAGUGAUUCAUCUACUAGCACUCAAGGUUUUUAUCCACCAGAACAACCUUCAUAUUUUCAACCUUCACAUGGUUAUCCACAACCAUAUGGUUAUUAUCCACCAUUUCCUAAUUAUGGUGUGCCAUACCAGCCUCAAAUGCAUCCUCCUCCACCAAUGUAUCACCCACCUCCACCUCCCAUGUAUCCUCCUCCUCAAAUAUAUCCUCCAUAUCAAUUAUAUGAAAACCAAGGUGAAAAUGUUACUUUUUUUAGAUAUAUUUUUGGACAAAGGCCAAGAGAAUCAAGUCAAGAACGCUCCCAAAGUGAAGGUGAAAAAUUUGAUCUUCCUCGUCAUUCCACUAAUUGGUGAAAACUAAAUCGUACCACUAUCAUUAUUUGUAAGGUAUGUUUUUUUUAAAGAAAACUUUUGUUGUUGUUCUUAAUUUUGAUGAUAAUAAAACAUUUAAAAUAAUAUAUAUCUUUAGAUAAAUGAAUGGAGUAUAUUUUAUGAAAAGAUAAUUAAGACUUGAAGCAUGUUAAAUUAUAUAUGAAAGUAGAAUGAGAGUGAGAAUAAGUGGUAGGAAAUAGGAAUAAUUAAUGAGUAUCUAUACAUUUAUCUAUUCCUUUUUUCCUUUUACAGCAUAGAAUGUUUAUAUCUUCACCAUCUUCAAAGCUGUCAAGAAAUACUGAAGACAUCUCUUAGGUAUGAAUUUUCAAUUCUUUUAUCUAUAAAAACUUUCAAACUUAUUAAAUAUGAUAAAUGUUUAAUAUUUCCUGUUUUUUACUUUGUUAUUAGUUAAUAUAACAUUCUUAGAAAAUUCGUAAAUAAAUGUAAGAAUAAUUAAUGAUUAUAAAAGUUGUGUUCUCAUAUCAUAUUAAUAAAGGUUCAUAAGUGUUAGAAAACACUCUAAAAAUCAUUAAAAGUGAAUUUUUAUAAUUAUAAUUAUAAUUACUAUGUUUUACAAUAAGUUGUGCAAAUUUUAAAAAAAUUCACGACCGCGAUACCGGCAGUGACCACAAUAGCGUUCGUUAUGUCCGCGACCGCGAUAAACGUGACGCGACCGAAAAUACGACCGUGACCGCAAUUUAAAUCCCUGAUCUCAAUUGUAAGAUGCUAUUCCAAUCUCACUAUUAGUUGUUGUUUAUUUGCCUUGAAUCUUACAACUCCAAAUGAAAAACCAAUCUUUUGUUGCAUCAAAUGGAGAAAAAACAAACAUAUGAAGAAAAGCAAAUUAACAUCCUUUACAAAUUACUGAUAUCAGAAAUUGACCAUCAACUUACUUUUUUCUUUUUACCAGACCCAAAUAAGUGGUUGGUUCUAUCAGACAUGGAAUUAAGGAAACGACAGAGAAGAGCAGCUUUGUCAAAAUCACCGUCUUCGCGAGCUUUUAUGAUUUGGAACAUAACACAAGCCGAAUCUAAUUUUGCCGAAUCCGAUUGAAAGCUGAUUGCUUCACUAUCGCUUUACUUUCCAGUCUGACUUCAUCGCAUUGGCGUCUAACAUCUUCCAACCUUCCUCGUAUCUUCCUUUGUUCAUCUCUUAUGCAUCUUUGAUCUUCCUUUAUCUGUCCCAUAUUUUGUUUUAGUCCACGGAACUUGGCGUUCAAACUCUUCGUUUUUCGUUUCGAGACCUCCUCUUUCUUGGUCAUGCUCAAGUUCUCAAUUAAAAUCGAAACUGAAACAGACUGAGAUUGAAAAUUAAACUUGGAUUGGGGUGAGUGAAAUGGCAUGAACAUUAAGGGAUUUAUAUAACAAUUACGGAAAUAGCGGCUGAAAUUGAGAAGAAGGUGAAGAGAAAUGGGGGCGAAAGGAAUAAGAAGUAAUAGAUAGCUUUAUAGGGACGUAAAUGUUGUGAGGGUUAAAAUUGGUCGAUUUUUUAACUUGCAUGGGACGACAUUAAGGAGAUUUGAUUUGGUGGCAACUAGUAAGAAAUUUUAAAAUAGAACCAAAAUCAAUUUAGUAAUUAAAUUAAAAUAAAUGGUUUUUUACCUAAAUAAUAUAAAAAUAAUAAUUAAUUACAAAAAAAGGUAUGAAAAACAAUAUGUAUUUGUUACAGUGUUCUGACGUUGCUGCCUGACAUAGUGACGACACCGAACUUUAAAUGGGUAAAUUGUGUCAUAACCCCCCUUGUUUAUUAUUUUUUUUCUUUUUGAUUAAAACACUUUGGGGCUUUUUCUUUUUAACAUCUCUCACAUUUUAAUUUUUCAUUUGCUUCUCAGAUCUGGGGAGUACCCAAAGGAAUACUACACCAAUAACGGCAACCCCAGGAGACUGACUCCAACAUCCUCAUCUUCUUCGUCAUAACCAACAAAAACUGACAAAGCAAAUCCUACAUAGAAAAAGGAAAUCACUUUUGCUUUAAACCUCAAAGACACUACAAAAGAAACUCUCCUUUAUUUUUGUUGUAUUUUAAUUUUGAUUGUGAGAUUAUAGCAAAGGAUUUAGUUUUCAACCUUCAUUUUUUUUUAUUUUUGUUGUGAGAAAAACAAACUAGUUAUGGUUGAAGUUAUGGGGAAGGGAAAUAUGUUUACGAGUUGUUACUAUAGUCAGAUGAACGCUCAUCGUUGACGAAGAAGAUGAGGAUGUUGAAGUCAGUCUUCUGGGGUUGUUGUUGCUGGUGCAGUACUCCUUUGGGUACUCCCCAGAUCUGAGAAGCAAAUGAAAAUUUUCAAUGUGAGAGAUGUUAAAAAGAAAAAGAAAUCCAAAAUGUUUUAGUCAAAAAGACAAAAAUAAUAAACAAGGGGGUUAUGAAGUAAUUUACCAAUUUAAAGUUUGGUGCCGCCACUAUGUCAGCAGCACCCUUAGAGCCCUUUUUCAGCUGCCAAUCAAAACAAUAAAUUUAUAGAUCAAGUCCCUGAAUAUUUUAGGUCAUCACAUUUUAGUUUGGUGUCACCAAUAUGUCAGGUGGCACCAUCAGAACACUGUAGCAAAUGCCUAUUUUUGUAAUUAAUCUGUUUUCCAUACUUUUUUGUAAUUAAUUUUUUUUUAUAUUACUUAGGUAUAAAACCCGAUUCUAAGCUUUAAAUUUUGUAUUUAUCUUAACUUAUUAAAAUAAAACCAACAACACUCAAUCUUGUUUUGUUCUUUUUAUCAUGUAGUUAAAGUAUAAGGGUGAAAAUAUUUUGGAUAACUUUUUCUUUUAGAUUUAAUUUCUCUUUUUUGAGAAAAAAAUUGGAAUGGAAAGCAAGAUGUUAGAGUUUCUAAGAUUAACUAAUUUAUGUAUUAGGGAUUUGUUUUUCUUGACUGAAAAAAUUGGUCAACCAUUUCAUUCUAAAAAUUUGAUAUUUUUCUUGGUUGAGUAAAAAGUGAGUACUUAAAAUCAACAAAAAUAAAAAUCUCAGUUCUUUUAGAAUGAAAUGGUCAACUAAUUUUUCAAUAAAGAAAAACAAAUAUCUAAUACCCAAAUGAAUUAAUAUUAAUAACCUUAAUCUCUUACUUUCCAUUCUAAUUUUUUUCUCAAAAAAAAUAAAAAAUAAAUCUGAAAGUAAAGAUUAUUCAAAAAAAAAUACCCUAAGACUUCAAUUACACAGUAAAAAAGAAAAAAAGAAAGAGUGGGCGUUGCUGAGUUUAUUUUAAUAUGGUAAGAUAAAUACAAAAUCUAAAGUUUAAAAAACCAUUUACUUUGAUCUAUGACUAAGAUCAUUUUGGUUUUCAUUUUAAAAGUUUUCACUAUAGUUUCCAUCUAUUUAACUGGCAGAGUAUAAUUAUAUCAUAAUUCUCAUCAUGUUUGAUAGUAUAAAUUGUCAUUAUACAAUUACAUAAUUUUAAAUUCUAAAACAUUUUAUUAUUAUAAAAAUUAUCAAUAAUACUUGAGAAAAACAACUAUAAACAAGAAAAAUAACUUUAAAAAAAUAACAAAACCUAAAAUCGAAUCAUCAUGCAUCAUAUAUUGGCCUAAGGAAAUAUUGGACAAUACAAUUACUAACAACAUUAACAAGAAAAAUAAACAAUAUAUGCAAUUUUAUUAGAUUAUGUAAGAUAAUUUCUAAUCAAUAUUAUUUACUAUAGUUAGUUAUUUAGUAUUUUAGAAUGUAUAGAAAAUUAUCAUUCGUUAAUGAAAUUUUCAGAUUAUUUAAGUUGGAUUAAUAAAAUAACAUAUAACUAUAUUUUAAGAAAAUUAAAUCAAUAUCGUGAAAUUAAAAUAAAAUUAUUAUUGUAAUACUCAAUUGUUGCCCGGGCCCCAAAAUUAACCAAUCAAACCCAAUAAAACUUAGGCCAAUCCUGACCCAAUUACAUUUGGCCCAACAAGGCCCAAGUGUGCAAACCCUAGCAAUGCCCUAAACAACAGUUGACAGCAAUCACCCCACGCCGCAGCAACCGUUCUACUGCGCACGUCGCCCCGCACAACGCACGUACCUGCAAACCACGAAUAGCACUAAGAGGAUAUACAUAGCAAAAUUGUAAAAAGGGGGGGAUUUCGGUUGUAUAAAAGGGGAGUCGAUUGAUGUAAAAAGGGUUAGCAAAUUUUUGUAUUGGAAAAAAAUUAAAAAGGAAAAUACAAGGGAGAAAAACAUUUUUUUUGAAGGUGACAAAUUUUGGCUUUGUUUCUUCUGUUCUUUUUACUGUUUUUAUUUUAUUUUGUUUGUUUUUCUUAUGUUACUUAAAACAAAAAAAAUAAACGAAGAAAGGAAGGAAAUGAAGACUUAUGGUUGAAAAAGUCGUUGGGCGUCCUCUUUUCGCCGUUAUCUGGUCGGAAAAGGGAGGACACUGGAAUGGCAGAGGGAGUGCAACAGCGUGAUUGAAAAAUGGCAGAGGAGAGUUUUUUUUAGGGAUUGAAAUGGGUUUUAUUGGCUGCAAAUGAAAUGGGGUUUUAUUUAUGGGUUAUUUAUGUUUUUAAUCCUUUUUAUUUUUCCAUCAUUUCAAAACUUUUUUUUUGUUUUCGAAUUUUUCCAUGAAAUAUCGAAUCUGUUUUAUUUUAGUCCAGUGCUGUGCAGUGUUUUUGGGUAAUUUUCUCCUUCGGCCCUUCCCCUGUUACGUGUGUUUUAAACUACUCCCUUUCUUGUUUUGAUUUUCAAAUUCAGCUAUCAAAUUCUGUUUGUUUUUUAACUUAAUCCUUAAUUUGUUAUUUUUAGUUUUUUUAUUAUAUUGUUAAUACUGUUUAUUUAUAUUAUUAUUAGUUUAAUAUUAUUAUAUUAUUAUAUUAUAUAUUAUUAUUAUAUUUACUUAUAUGCGCAUAUGCAUAUUAAUAUAUAUAUAUUUUAAAAAAGGCAUCUUAAAUAUAUAUUCUAUAUACAUAUCAUAUAUUUUAUUAUUACUUUAGUUUUCUUAGCUUUAUGUACAUAUGUAUGCGUAUAUAUUCGUAUUUUAUAAUAUUUAUAUAUUUUCUAUAUCUUAUAAUCCAAAUAUAUAUUUUUUAAUAUGUAUGCAUAUAUACCUACAUUAUUCGGCACUUUUAUAAAUAUAUCUUUCAAAUCUCCUUUAUAUAUACAUAUAUGUCCAUAUUUUUUAUAAUUACUAAUAUAUUAUGCUUUUAUUUUUUUGUAUAAACUUUUUUUUUGAUUAUGUUAUUUUUAUUAUUUUUGUAUACAUGUAUAUAUAUGCAUCAAUAUCUUAUCAUACUUUAAAAAAAUAAAUAUAUUUUGAUUUCGUCAAAAUAUUGAAACCAUUUUUUUUAUGUUUUUCCAAAGGCUUUCAAAAUAAAAACGAUAUUCAAAGUUAGGGAUUUUCGAGGAAAAUUGAACGUAUUGGGUUCUGAUUUUCUUUGUUAAUUCCAAAUAACCGAGAAUAUUCGUUAUUUAAAAUGCAUAAGUAUAAUAAUCAUUUUCGGAAACUUAAUUUGUGAUGUCCUAACGUAUUGGGCAUGACAUAUUGCCUUCUCGAAAUGAAGAUUUUCUUUAAAAAUAAAAGAGCGAUAUUCGAAGUUCGGGGGUUUUGAGAAAUUGUACCCUAACGUAUUGGGUUUCUAUUUCUUUAUCUAACUUGAACAUUUGAUUAUCCUCUUCAGAUUUCAUCAUUUGAGUUUUUUAAAAAAAAUCUUUUUAACCCUCGACACUAAGACAUUAUAUAAUCAAUUUGGUACCGAUUUUUGGGCGUUAUGAGAGGGCUAACCAUUCCUCGUGUGUAACUGACUCCCGAACCUAUUUUCUCAAAUUUCGCAGACCAAAAUUGUUUUUAAGGUGAGCCGAUCACGCCUCAAUCAAGGAUCGAUAGCGACUCCAAUUUUUGUUUUUUUUAAGUCGACAACUAGAUUUUUUGUUUUCAAAAAAAUGGUUUCGACAGCUUGCCGACUCCACUGGGGAGCUUCAAGAGUCGAGCCAUAAAUUGAUUAUUUGGUGUUUUUUUGUCGACAAUCGAAGUUUUUUUAAAAAUCAUAAUUUCCCUUUGCAUUCAUUGAUUUUCAUUGUUUGCUUGAUUGGUUUAAGUCUAUUAGCUUAUUUGCACUUUUGCAUCUCAUAACGUCGGUCAUUUUUACCCAUUUAGGUGGGAGUGAGAAACUAGUCCUUCGUGAGGUUUUCACCUCCGUAUAGGAUAGUGGAUCGCUUUCGGGAUACAUCCGUACCUAUGCCUCUGUGAGACCUACGUCUCCGCAUAGUCAUAGGGAAAUGUAUUCCCCUAAAUCAAACUCGGUCUAUAUGAGCCUAUAAUGGGUGAGGAUCGAGGAAUCUGCUGGUCCGGGUACCCUUUCCCUAGAAACCAAAUCACAUAUAGUGAACCAUAGGAACUCACCCUAGGUAGAAUUACUCUUAACCUUAGUAGAUGCCUAAUUAGGAGUUUUUACUAUUUCUUGGUUGUAUUAUAUUUAAUUGUUACUCACUUUUUUAUGUUGUACUUUGAUUGCAAGGCAUUACCUUCACAUGGCAUUUCAUUUUAAAAGGCGUUGGUUCGUAUUCGAUUGCUAGAUAGAAAGCUUAUCAUGGGAAAUGGGUUUCUUGAUAGAGUGGAGGAUAAUGCGGCUGUCCGAACUUGGGUUGAAAUCACACAGCGCGAAAAAGGUGAUAGCUUAGCCGAGGGGUACAUACCAGAAUUAUAGGACUUCACUCGUGUCAGCAUAACCUAGAACAACUUGCAGGAGUUGAAAGAGAUUUGGAAUCAGUGGAAUAAUGAGGUUAAAUGGUUAUUCUAUUCAAAUUAUGGGGAUUUGCCUUAUUUACUUGAUAUGAAGGUGGAUAAGCGUCUCUUUCGAGCACGAGCACAAUUUUGGAACCCCGUUUAUAGUUGCUUCACAUUUGGGAGGGUUGACUUGGUGCCUACAAUAGAGGAAUACACGGCUUUACUUCAGUGUUUGAGGAUUCAAGUGGACAAGGUUUACUCGAAAGCUGUAAAUGCACCGAUAUUUUUGAAGAGGUUAGUGAGUAUAAUCGGGAUGAGUGAGCAGUGGGUUACAGCUCAGAUCAAGCAAAAGGGGGAUAACAAGUGCAAUCCUUGGAAAGAUUUGAAGGACCUCAUUCCGGAGCACCCAGACACGAAAAAGAAGGUAGAUAUCUUUACUUUAAGUAUAUAUGGUUUGGUUGUAUUCCCUAGGGCUUUGGGGCAUGUUGAUGAGGCGGUCACUGACUUAUUUGAUCGGCUUGAUAAGAGAGUUACACCAGUCUCGGCAAUUUUGGCAGAAACCUUCCGGUCAUUGAAUGCGUGCUGGAGAGCGGGAGAAGGUAGAUUCAUUGGAUGUGCACAACUCUUACUUGCAUGGUUCUAUAGUCACUUUUAGAAGGUCGAUAAGGUUUCGUAUCAGGUCUUCUCUGACAAUUAUUCACCAUUGAAAGAAAUAGUGGCUACAAUGAGGAGGUAUGGCAUCUCGGAAGAGAAAUGGAUGGCUAUUUUUUAGAAUUUGCAGGAGGGGGAUAUCGAGUGGAGAGCUCCGUGGUUGCUUCCAGACGAGAUCCUAUAUCGAUGUGGGGAUUUUGAUUGGGUUCCUUUGAUUGGGAUUUGGGGAGCCGUUAGUUAUGCACCAUUGCUAGUACUAAGGUAAUACAAGUCAAGAUAGUUCGUGCCUGCAACUCAGGGAUUGGCCGAGUGUGAGUUCUCGUAUAGGGGCGAUGGUUACAAGAGGAGAGUUCGUGAGAUGGUCAGUGUAUGGAAUCAGACUCGCCGAAUGAAGGGAUUAGCUGUGGGUCCGAUGACAACUCCCAAGUAUGGCGAAUGGUGGGCUAAGAGGAUUAACGAUAACAUUCCAGGGCCGGGUUCAGAAAAUUGUCAGUCAAUAGAAGAGUAUUUACAGGUUGUCCCUACUGAGCUGGAAAUCAUAAAGCAAGACUUUGAAAGGAAAAAUGCAGAACUAGAGAAGAAAAUAGAGCAAAUAGAGGAAGAAAAGAUGAAUUUGAGACUGGAUGCGGAUGUUCAGAAGCUCGAGGCUGAUAAGCUAAGGAAAGGAAAGAAUAAGGCUGAAGAAGAAUUAGAUAGCUUGAAGAAGGAUUAUAAGAAGCUGCGUCUGUCGAUGAGAACUGUAGGGCUUAGAAAAACUUCAGAGUAAUGGCGUGAAGAAAUUCGAGAAGAAAGAAACAGGUCAGACCGGUGGGAAAGAAAAUUCCAAGAGAUUCAAGCAUGAAAUGAAGCAUUAGAAAAGAGUUUUUCAGAGAGUCAAAAGGAAAAAUGAGAACUAAAAGACAGAGUAGUUGAGUUAGAAGGGUCUCUCCGUCAGCACAUAAGUCAAAAUUCUGUAAUAGAGUUGAAAGCAAGUCUGAGCAAGAUUAAAGAAAUGAAGGGUAAAAUAGAAGAGUUGGAAGCAACAUUACAAAGUUGUGAGGUUCAGAUCGAGCAUCUAGAGGCAAAGGAAGGUCGUCAGAAUGAGCAACUUCAUUAUUUCCAGGAUCAAGUCAGAAAUAGGGAUCACGUUAUGGGUGAAGCUGUGGUGCAGAUUCGAGAAGUGGCAGAUCACUUGCAAACGUUGGCGGUACAAGCCGACACGUUGAGCAUAAAGUACGAGCUAGAGUCAGAUCGAGGACAAGAGUUAGCAUUGUUACUUAAAAAGAUCAAGGUCUUCAGUAUUAGGGCAAAGCCAUAUUUAUAGCCCAUUCUAUGUAAAGAGAUUUAUUUUCUAAUAAAGUUUUUUUGAAAGUAAUUGAAAUUAGAAUUAACGCCUUUUCUGCAUUCAUUUUUCAUACAUCACAUUGCAUGCAUUAAAAAUUAUCAAAGGGUUCUGAUUAAAUCAAAAUCAUUCCUUAGUUAACUUGGAAUCUAACCAGCCAACUCAGCACCGUUACGGUACACGAGCGAAAUCAAGAAGUAUGGAUCAAAGAUUAGAAAAGCUUGAGCAAUUCCAGAAAGAAAUGCAGGAUCAACUUCAGCAGCAAAUGCAAGAGCAGCUCGAGAAGAUUCAGCAGAAAAUGAUAGAUAAAAUGGUGGAAUCCCAAUGAAGUAUGAUGACCCAGUUAACUCAAUUCUUGACUGGUGGAAAGGAUAAAGGAAAGAGCUUCAGGGCCAAUGUUGAAGAGGAAGGUGAUGACGGACUCCUAUAUCCUCCCGGCUUCACUCCUCUAUAUGUGCCGCCCCAAGCGAAAGUGUACCCGCGUAAAUCUUCUGUUAUGAUUAGGCCUCAGCAAUUUCAAGCUGAUGCUUCAAGGUCGAUGAAUUUCCAAGUCGGAUCAGGCUCCAGUCCUGAGAAUAAUCCUGCCAAUCCUAUUGUUCCUGAUUUCGAUGAAGCAGUUGAAAAAGAGAAAACAAAAGAGGAAUUAUCAUAGCAAUUGGAAGGAAGAUAGAAGUGGAUUGAGGAGAAAUUCAAAGCGGUGGAAACUACUGAAAGAUACCACGGGAUUGAUGCUAAGGAUUUAAGUUUGGUACCAGAUUUAGUGCUCCCUUACAAGUUUAAAAUGCCAGAUUUCGAGAAGUAUAAUGGAACCACUUGCCCUGAAGCCUACAUUACUAUGUUUUGUAGGCGAAUGACUGGGUAUGUUAAUAAUGACCAGUUAUUGAUACACUGUUUUCAGGAUAGCCUCAUGGGGGCAGUGUCUAAAUGGUAUAAUCAUUUAAGCCAUGCUAGGAUCAGCUCUUGGAGGGAUUUAGCACAGGUUUUUAUGAAAUAGUACAGUCAUGUGGUGGAAAUGGUACCUGAUAGGAUUACUUUGCAGAACAUGGAGAAAAAGUCGAAUGAAGGUUUUAGAUAGUACGCUCAGAGGUGGAGAGAGGUGACAGUGUAGGUCCAACCACCUCUCCUUGAAAGAGAAAUGACGAUGCUCUUUGUAAAUAUGCUGAAGGCCCCCUUCAUCACACACAUGUUAGGCAGUGCCACGAAAAAUUUUGCUGACAUAGUCAUGAGUGGUGAGAUGAUUGAAAGUGCUGUAAAGAGUGGGAAGAUUGAUGUUGAAGAGAACAACAGAAGGAAAAACUCAAAGAAAAAGAAAGUGAGGUGAACAACGUGAAUACAUACAAGUCAAUUACGGUGAAUCAGCCCAGGAAGGUAGUGGCAGGUCAACAGGGUUCAUCUAAGCAGGAAUCUGGUGUGAGGCCAAAUACUGAGAGGCCCCAGUUCACACCCAUCCCUAUGUCAUACAAAGAGUUGUAUCAGAAUUUAUUUAACGCACACGUUGUUGCCCCAUUUUAUUUGACUCCUUCAGAGCCUCCAUAUCCUAAAUGGUAUGACGCGAAUGCACAAUGCGAUUACCAUGCAAGAGUUACGGGGCACUCCAUAGAGCAUUGUACUACUUUUAAAAAGCUUGUUGAGAAGCUUAUUAAGAUGUGCAUUGUCAAGGUAGAUGAUUAAUUAGGUACGGAAAAUCCAUUACCCAAUCAUGCUGAUGCUGGGGUAAACAUGGUGGGUGAAGGUACGGGGAAGAAGGUCAAGGAGAAUAUUGCUGAAGUAAAGAUCCCUUUGAAAAGGGUUUGGAAAGAAAUGGUAGGAAGAGGGUUAAUUGUUUUAAAUUUAGUGGGGGUGGCAAGACCCAUAGUUAUUGUGAGUUCCAUCAUGAGGUGGGACACGAAAUUCAGAGAUGUGAGGAAUUUAGAGCUCUGGUUCAGAGCUUGAUGGAUAAAAGAGAAGUAGAGUUUUUUGAAGAGGUGGAAAGAAAAGGAAGUGUAUGUGCGUCAGAGUCAGCGACGAGGAUUCCGAGGGUGAAUCAUCCUGUGAUCAUCAUCUCGAACCCUAGGGUUAAUGAGGUUAGGGCACAGGUGAUGCCGAAGAUUGUAAUUCAGAAGCCGACAAAGUUUUUAUACAAGGAUAGUAUGAACGUCCCCUGGAAUUAUGAGUGCGAUGUAAAAGUCUCAGUAAAAGAAGCUUUAGUCAGUGUUCCAAAAGAAAACCAAAAGACAGGUUCUUAUGCAAAUGCUGAGAAGUACCGCAGUUGGAUAAAUGCCCAAGUAGAGUCAGCGGAGGGAGAAGUUCUUACGGCCGAGCAAAAGGAAGAGAGGUCAUUGAUUAAUGAGCCAAUAAAGGAGGAAGAAGCUACUAAAUUCUUGAGAUUUUUGAAGCACAGUGAGUAUAGCGUGGUAGAGCAGCUGCAUAAACAGCCAGCUCGUAUAUCUGUGUUGGCCUUGCUCAUGAGUUCAGAGGUGCAUCGAAAUGCGUUGAUGAAGGCGUUAAAUGAAGCAUACGUGGCAAAUGAUAUUUCUGUCAACCAAUUGGAUCGGUUGGUUAAUAAUAUAAGUACUAGUAGUUUUAUCUUCUUCAACGAUGACGAAAUACCAUCUAGAGGUAUGAGGUCCACUAAAGCUUUGUACAUUACUGCUCGGUGUAAAGGAAGCUUUGUACUGGCGAUAAAAUGCAUGCACCUCCUUCACCUCUUCAUGUUAUGACUUCUCCAUGGCCUUUCUCUAUGUGGGGUAUGGACGUCAUUGGGCCAGUAUCGCCAAAGGCUUCUAAUAGGCAUCGCUUCAUCUUUGUGGUUAUUGACUACUUUACCAAAUAGGUGGAAGCUGCUUCAUAUGCAAAUGUCACGAAGUCAACAGUUAGUAGAUUCUUGAAAAAGGAAAUCAUAUGUCGAUAUGGAAUGCUUGAGAGGAUCAUAUUUGAUAAUGCGCUGAAUUUGAACAAUAGUGCAAUAGCGGAGGUCUGCAGUCAAUUCGAGAUCAGACAUCAUAACUUGUCGCCAUACCGCCCAAAGAUGAAUGGUGCAGUAGAAACAGCCAAUAAGAAUAUUAAAAAAAUUGUGAGAAAGAUGAUUGAGACUUACAAGGAUUGGCAUGAGAAAUUACCGUUCGCUCUCUUUGCUUAUAGAACGUCUGUUAGGACGUCGACUGGGGCAACACCUUUCUCUUUGGUUUAUGACAUGGAAGCAGUUUUACCUAUUGAAAUAGAAAUUCCUUCUCUCCAAGUAUUAUCUGAGUUGAAAUUGGAUGAGGCAGAGUGGGUUCAAUCUCGUUAUGAUCAAUUGAACUUAAUAGAAGAGAAAAGGCAAAAGGUUGUUCGGCAUGGUCAGAUGUAUCAAAAGUGGAUGAUGCGAGCCUACAACAAAAAGGUUCGUCCCAGAGAAUUUAAUGAGGGGGAGCUGAUGUUGAAGAAGAUUCUUCCUAUACAAAAGGAUUUUAGAGGAAAAUAGAUGCCAAAUUGGGAAGGUUCAUAUGUUGUAAAGAAAGCCUUUUCAGGAGAAGCUUUGAUUUUGAGUGAGAUGGAUGGCAAAGAUUUGCCAAACCCUGUAAACUCAGAUAAGGUUAAGAAAUACUUUUCUUAAAAAAAAGAAGAAAAAAUGGGAGAGGCCAAGGUGAAAACCAGCAAAGGGCACUUUGAGACCAAAGGGGAUUUGAGUUGAAAACCCGAAAAAGGGUGGCUCAAAUGUUGAUCAAGUGGCGUAUCCGGUGAUCUUGCAAUGAUUGAAUCAGUGGGAAAGGGGACGCAACAUCUUGGGGCAUCGACAGAGUGCUGUAGAUCUUCUAAGUACAUGUCGGAUUCAGAGUGGUCUUCAGGAAGUUUGCGCAGAGAAGUUCAAACUGCGAUAUCUGGGGCACCUAGUCUUCUCAGUAUUUAUAUUUUGGAAUACUUUAUUCCUUUUCAAGAUUCAUGUUUCCAAUCCAUUCAUCUUUUCUUCUUACUAUUCUUUAUAAUCUACUCAUCUUGAGCUUUAUUCUCAAUGAAUUUCAUCUUGUCCAUUUCGAUAGUCUUGUCCAAGCAUUUUUUUCAUUGGGACAAUAGGAUAAUACUACUUUUAUAAAGGAAAUUUUGCAUAUUACUUUGGAAGUUUCUAAAUAAUAUGGGAACCUGAAACAUGAUUAUUUUUUAGAACGCACCAGGCCUAAAGGUUGAAUAUCUAAGAGGGAAAAGUCUAAAUUAAGACUAUCCCUUCAUAUUUUGUUGUCAAAAACAUUGACUGAACAAAAUGGCAAGAUGUCGUGUUGGUGACAAAGCUUCAAAGAACAAACAAGCAAUGAUCACCGAGUAUUAACAAGAAGUUGUUCUUGGAGAAGAAAAUGCUUCAUUUGUGCAUGAGCAUUUGGUAUGACACCCUGGGAAUGGUGUAAGAGACCAAAGAGUUUCAUAUCCUGUAUCCUUGAAUUGAGAUAACAGAGGAUUAACAAAAAACCAAAUCUUUUUACUCUUGGGUUACAAUAGGAGAAAGAUGGUACAAAUUUUGUAUCCCGGUGGAUCAAACUUGGAGAUUUAUAGUGGGGGCAAUCUAAUCAAGUGUUCCUUUGGAGACGCAAGCUGAGUGAAAAGGCGCUAUAGCAUACUAGCGAUAAAACUUUAAUAGACUUUGAGUAAUGAUAACCUAAGUGAUAAAGAGGGAUUAUUCUUGAAAAAAUAAUAUUUUACAUUCAUUCAAAUGUCAUUUAUAUAUGUCUAGUUAGGAGCAUGUGAUUCAUUUUGGUAAUGACAUCCUAAUCGUUAGGCAUAAUUAGGUUCAUAAAUUGAAUUAUACAGGUCAUGUUCCCCAGAGAACAAACCGGUGAAGCUUCAGCCUUAUCUCCCUGAGCAGUAGUGGAGUAGGUUGGAAAUGGUAGAUCUUGCCUUCCUGUACUGGUAGCGAAGCAGAUCGAAGGCACCAGUCUUAUCGCCUUGACGUGCAAUGGAAUUGAUUGAAGCCAUAUCGGCGAAUUUUAUUUCCCUAGCGUUGUAGCAGAGCAAAUUGAAGCCACAACGGCGAAUCUUAUCUCCCUGGCAUUAAAGCUUGGAUUAGUUAAGGUAGAGCGGAUUGAGGCUGUGGGCAGCGAAUCCUAUCUCUUUGGCAUUACAGUGGAACGGAUUGAAGCCACAACGACGAAUCUUGUUUCCCUGGCAGUGUUGUGGAACAGAUUGAAGCUACGACGGCGGAUUUGGUUUCCCCGACAUUGCAGUUAAAAAGAUUGAAGCCACAACGGCAGAUCUUACUUCCCUGGCGGUGUAGUGGAACAGAUUGAAGCUACGACGGCGGAUCUGGUUUCCCCGACAUUGCAAUUUAAAAGAUUGAAGCCACAACGACGAAUCUUACCUCCCUGGCGGUGUAGUGGAAUAGAUUGAAGUCGCGACGGUGAAUCUUGUUUCCCUGACAUUGUAGUUAAACAAAUUGAAGUAAAUAAUCCUAUCUCCCUGAAGUUGCGGUGGAGCGGAUCAAAAUGAUAGAUCUCAUCUCUCUGAUGUUGUAGUAGAGCAGAUUGUAUCAGACUCAUCUUUAAAGUUGCAGUGGAAUAAGUUGAAAUGACAGAUCUUAUCUCUCUGAAGUUGCAGUAGAGCAGAUCACAUCAAACUUAUUUUUAAAAUUGCAGUAGAAUAAGUUGAAGCUACAAGUCUUAUCUCCCUGAAAUUGAAGUGGAGCAGACUAAAGAUAGUAAAUUUUAUUCUUUUGAGAAGUUACAAGAUACAAGUCCUAUCUCCCUGACGUUGUAGUGGAGGGGAUCGAAACACAAAUUCCUAUAACUUUGAAGACGCAGUAGGUUGGAAUGAGGCUACAAGAAGAAGAAGUGUACCAAAGUCUUGCAUGACUGGGCAAAAUUGGUUAUCUUUAAAGUCUUUGCUAUGUUCCCAUUACAUGACAACGAGCAAAGAGGGGCAGCUGUAAUACCCAAUUGUUGCCCGGGGCCUAAAUUAACCAAUCAAACCCAAUAAAACUUAGGCCAAUCCUGACCCAAUUACAUUUGGCCCAACAAGGCCCAAGUGUGCAAACCUUAGCAAUGCUCUAAACAGCAGUUGACAGCAAUCACCCCACGCCGCAGCAACCGUUCUACUGCACACGUCACCCCGCACAACGCACGUACCUACAAAUCACGAAUAGCACUAAGAGGAUAUACACAGCAGAAUUGUAAAAAGGGGGAUUUCGGUUGUAUAAAAGGGGAGUCGAUUGAUGUAAAAAGGGUUAGCAAAUUUUUGUAUUGGAAAAAAAUUAAAAAGGAAAAUACAAGGGAGAAAAACAUUUUUUUUGAAGGUGACAAAUUUUGGCUUUGUUUCUUCUGUUCUUUUUACUGUUUUUAUUUUAUUUUGUUUGUUUUUCUUAUGUUACUUAAAACAAAAAAAAUAAACGAAGAAAAGAAGGAAAUGAAGACUUAUGGUUGAAAGAGUCGUUGGGCGUCCUCUUUUCGCCGUUAUCUGGUCGGAAAAGGGAGGACACUGGAAUGGCAGAGGGAGUGCAACAGCGUGAUUGAAAAAUGGCAGAGGAGAGUUUUUUUUAGGGAUUGAAAUGGGUUUUAUUGGCUGCAAAUGAAAUGGGGUUUUAUUUAUGGGUUAUUUAUGUUUUUAAUCCUUUUUAUUUUUCCAUCAUUUCAAAACUUUUUUUUUGUUUUCAAAUUUUUCCAUGAAAUAUAGAAUCUGUUUUAUUUUAGUCCAGUGCUGUUCAGUGUUUUUGGGUAAUUUUCUCCUUCGGCCCUUCCCCUGUUACGUGUGUUUUAAACUACUCCCUUUCUUGUUUUGAUUUUCAAAUUCAGCUAUCAAAUUCUGUUUGUUUUUUAACUUAAUCCUUAAUUUGUUAUUUUUAGUUUUUUUAUUAUAUUGUUAAUACUGUUUAUUUAUAUUAUUAUUAGUUUAAUAUUAUUAUAUUAUUAUAUUAUAUAUUAUUAUUAUAUUUACUUAUAUGCGCAUAUGCAUAUUAAUAUAUAUAUAUUUUAAAAAAGGCAUCUUAAAUAUAUAUUCUAUAUACAUAUCAUAUAUUUUAUUAUUACUUUAGUUUUCUUAGCUUUAUGUACAUAUGUAUGCGUAUAUAUUCGUAUUUUAUAAUAUUUAUAUAUUUUCUAUAUCUUAUAAUCCAAAUAUAUAUUUUUUAAUAUGUAUGCAUAUAUACCUACAUUAUUCGGCACUUUUAUAAAUAUAUCUUUCAAAUCUCCUUUAUAUAUACAUAUAUGUCCAUAUUUUUUAUAAUUACUAAUAUAUUAUGCUUUUAUUUUUUUUGUAUAAACUUUUUUUUUGAUUAUGUUAUUUUUAUUAUUUUUGUAUACAUGUAUAUAUAUGCAUCAAUAUCUUAUCAUACUUUAAAAAAAUAAAUAUAUUUUGAUUUCGUCAAAAUAUUGAAACCAUUUUUUUUAUGUUUUUCCAAAGACUUUCAAAAUAAAAACGAUAUUCAAAGUUAGGGAUUUUCGAGGAAAAUUGAACGUAUUGGGUUCUGAAUUUCUUUGUUAAUUCCAAAUAACCGAGAAUAUUCGUUAUUUAAAAUGCAUAAGUAUAAUAAUCAUUUUCGGAAACUUAAUUUGUGAUGUCCUAACGUAUUGGGCAUGACAUAUUGCCUUCUCGAAAUGAAGAUUUUCUUUAAAAAUAAAAGAGCGAUAUUCGAAGUUCGGGGGUUUUGAGAAAUUGUACCCUAACGUAUUGGGUUUCUAUUUCUUUAUCUAACUUGAAAAUUUGAUUAUCCUCUUCAGAUUUCAUCAUUUGAGUUUUUUUAAAAAAAUCUUUUUAACCAUCGACACUAAGACAUUAAAUAAUCAAUUUGGUACCGAUUUUUGGGCGUUACGAGGGUGAUAACCCUUCCUUGUGCGUAACUGACUCCCGAACCUAUUUUCUCAAAUUUCGCAGACCAAAAUUAUUAUUAAGGUGAGCUGAUCACACCUCAAUCAAGGAUCGGUGGCGACUCCAAUUUUUAUUUUUUUAAAGUCGACAACUAGAUUUUUUGUUUUCAAAAAAAUGGUUUCGACAAUUAUUGUAUAAAAAUAAGUUUUAAAACUUAAAUAAUAUGCGAGCAUAUAUAUUUAGAAGGUUAUAGGACAAUUAGAUUUAAGUGUAAAUGUUUGUAAUUACUUAUAUAAUUACUCUGAUUUUUACUAUCUCCCUAAGAGUUGAAGAGUGUAAUUGAUGCACUCCAACUACAUUCAAUUCAACGAGACCAAUUAAUUAAAAUGAUUAUCCAAACAUAGAUAAAUAACUAGAAAUAAUUACACCAAAAUUCAAUUAUCAAAUUUAAUCCAACACUUUCAAUAUUUUAUAGCUACAUUGAAUCCGAUUUUUCAAAAUAAAUUAAUUUUCAAUUUUUUUAUGAAUUAACAGCACAAUCUUCCAGGUAGCCCUAUCUCUUAAUAAUUUAUUUAUUUUUAUAUUAAAAUUGGUUAAGCAAUUGAAUUUCAAUUCAAAAUUAUAAAAAAAAUUCAUGGUAUAUUUAGCUCUGCCGUAUAAAACAAUAGAAAACAUUGUUGAGCAAAUGUAUAAAAAAUUGUUUCACAAGUAAGUUCAAAGGGUUACAAGUGUCUUAUAGGAAUAUAGUAAAAUAUUAAAAAAUAAAUGUUAAAAAAAACAUAUAUAUAUAAUAAUUUUCUAGGACUACUUGUAGAAUAAAAAAAAAAGUACAUUGUAAGUAUAUCAAAUACUCACACACACAUAUAUGUAUAUGACUAUCAACUCUUUUUCUUUUACUAUACAUAAGCAAGAUCAUGAAACAUAGACAAUAGAUAGUGUCAAAGAAUAUAGGAUGAUUGCAUUGUGACUUGCCACCUUGGAAAAGGUUCGAUCUUUGAUGCUGAACUUUGAGGCAUUUUUUAAGGCCUUAAACUUAUUCAACAUAGAGGCCACAAUCAAGUUAUCAUUCAAACUGACAGUUUAGAAGUUGUUAAAGUCAUCCUUGGAAGCACUUUCUCUAUAUCGAACUCAGUCUUGAUUAGACGAAUUCAAUGUAUUUUAUCUCAAGAAAAUCAGUGGUUAUUGCGAUACAUUCCGAGAGAACAGAAUCAAGUUGCAGAUUGCUUAGCUAAACAAGCCUUGACUGGAAAAGAUGACUUGCAGGUGUUUGAAUUCCCCCCACGAUGGUUCACACUUUUAUUAAAAUUGAUAAGUCUAAGGAUGGUUCUUCUUUUCAAAAUGUUAUUAUGUAAUUAGUUAGAUAUUAUCUUAUUGCCACACACACACAAAAAAAGAAUGAUUACUUUUCUGAUACUAUAAUUAGAUACGCAUUAAGUACGUGUAGAUGUCCUCUCGUAAUAACACUAACUUUUAAUAUAUUAAUAUUUUCUUAAAAAAAGAAUAGAACCCUAAAAUUUAUAAUAGAUAAUUACAAUAAACUCUUAUAAGAUGAAUUCCAAUUCCUUUUGAAACUUGUAAAAGAUUAAUUACAGUUAUAAGAUUAAUUAAAUUCAGUUUUAAAAUUAAAAAAAUUAUAAAAACAAUAAUAUUAUAUUUUCUCGUCCAUUCCUUAAAUCUCUAAGCAACUAAAUAAAAAUUUCAUAAAUGAAUAAAUUUUCAAAACAAAAAGUUAACAUUUAUAAUUUGAAUUCCAAACUUUUUUAUUGUUUUAAAUCCUGGAAUUUUAUAAAAAAAAUCAUCUAGUUACCACAUUAAAACAUGCUCUAAAAUCACUAAGUUAAACAUGAAAAAUUUGCUAGAUGCCAAGAAAAGAAAUAGAAACAAAGUAGGUUCUCACCGUAUGAAUUAGGUAUCAUCAUGGCUAGGUCAUUCGUUCAAGUUUGAAAGUCUGUUCGAAAAAUGAAAAGAUUUGAGUAAAAUAUAGGCUCAAAAAAUAAGUCUCGUUUUCUAAACGUGUCGGGUCUCAAAUUUGCAUAAAAAAAAUUUUGCUUGUCAUUUUGUUAUUAUCUUGCUACUAUUUUGUUAUUAUUCUUUGUAUAUUAUAUAACUCUUAUUUUAUUCUUAAUUUUGCUACUAUUUUGUUACGAUUGAUUCAUCAUGAUUUCUCAAUUUAUUGUGAAACAUUUAUUUUAAUGUUUUUAGUAUAUUAGAUGUAUCAUAUUUUUUAAAUUUAUUUGUAUAUAAAAAAUAACAUAAAAAAUUUAAUACAGGCGGACCAAGUCAAACUCGGAUUUAACAAUUUUUAUUUGGGUUAAAUUUAAACAAAAUUGUAAGCCUAUUUUUCUAAAAAAACCGUAUCUAAACUUUUGUAUCGAACUCGCUCAUUAUCAAUUCUAGCAUUAACCAUAGAGGUGAUCAUGGGCCGGGCGGCCCGGCCCGACGAUCCGCCCGAAAUAUGGGAGGGUUCGAGUAAAAAUAUAGGCCCGAAAUAUGGGUUUGGGUAAAAAAAGAGCCCGUUUAGAAAACGGGCCGGGCCUCGGGCACCACUUUUUUGGCCCGGGCCCAGCCCGAAUAUAUAAUAAAUUUAUAUAUUUUUAUUUUUUAAUUUUAAAAUAUUUUUAAAAUACUUUUUUUAUUUUUUAUUUUUAAAAUAAAUUUUUGGUGUUUAUUAAAAAAAUGGCCCGGAUUGGGCUCGGGCUUAAGAAUUUUUUUCGGGCUGGGCUUGGACAAAAUUUCAAGCCCAUAUUCUAGAAUGCAGGCCAAAAUUUUGUUCUAGACCCGACCCGAACCCAGCCCAGCCUGGCCCAUGAUCACCAUUAGUUAAAUUAACCAAUCACCUUUUUUUUUUUUUCGUAUUUGACCAAACUUUAUGCUUCUUUAGUGCCAAUCAUCAUUGGUCUCUCCUCCUACAACACCUAGGCUUUUUAGUUUACUAGCUUUCCCUGCUAACUCCAUAAAAACUUAAAUCUUAUCUUCAAAAGCUUUAGGAUAUAGAAAACAAGCAAAAUUCAUAUAUAAAAUCUUUUUUUAUGAAAGAUAUUUAGCGAACAACAGUUACACAUCUACUUCAACUUACCUGAUAGUGGUUACCCAGAUGCAGUGGACAUCGUGAUUGGUGUCUAUGUUCGUGGUGGCUAAUGUUACUAUUUCAUUUUUGGGUGGAGAAAAGAAAAACAUAAUCAUAAUUUUGGUGAUCAAUAUAUAAUUUAUUCUUUUCUAUAAUUGGAUGAAAGAAGCAAUGAUAUUUGUUCAUUGCAUUUUCAAGAGGAGAGAAUCUUAAAAACAAUGUUGUUAGAGAGAUAAUUAUGAAUCCUAAAUAUCAUUCAGCACAUGAUAUUGUUACAUAGAUAACUAUGAAUCCUGAACAUCGUUAAGCACAUGACUAAUACCCAAAAAAACAAAAAGUAUUGGCGAUUCUUGACUGAAACAAGAGAACGCACUCAUCUUAGACGUGAAAAUAAUGCAGGAUAAAUAUCAAAAGAACUAGACUCAGAAGCAUCAUGAUCUGCACUGCUUGGAAGACCUCUCCAAUCUCCAUCGAACUUGCUAAAACCCAACUUUGAUGAAAGUUUUGACACUUGUACUAAAACAUGGUAAAACCUUUGAAUGUGUUACAGAUAGCAGUACGUGUGAAGAGAUGGGCUCACAGCAUUGUCAAACAAGGGUACAGGAUUCUUAUAAACGAUGCAAACAAUAAAAAAUUACCAUGAAUUUUAGGAUAAUUGUUGUUUAUCGAUGUCUCGUAAUUAUAAAACUGUAAUUUCGAAUCUCACUAUGUUUGUAUGUGAAAAGAGGGGAAAAUGGAAGAAAAGACGAAUUUAUUACCAAAAACAUAUUGUAAGGAUACAUUCACACUUGGGGACUCCCAACACCAUUACACCCAAAGUUUGUUGGGUAGAAGCCGACAAUGACUGAAAUAACAAAACUAUUUAUUUCUUCUAUUAGAAACGGAAUUAAGGAAGCGAGUGAGAAGAGCAACUUUAUCAAAGUCACCCACUUGGCGAGCUUCUAAGAUAUUCAACAUAAUAACAAGUCGAAUCCGAUUCAAAGCUGAUUGCUUCACAAUCGCUUCAGUUUCCAGUCUGAGCGCAUCGCAUUGCCGAUUAACAUCUUCAAACCUUUCUCGUAUAUCCCUUUGUUCAUCUCUUAUGCAUCUUUGAUCUUCCUUUAUCUUUCCUAUAUCUAGUUUAAUCCGAUGGACCCUUGCUUUAAAACUCUUCGUUUUUGGUUUCCAAGUCUCCUUCUUCUUGCUCAUGCUCUACUUGGAACACAAACUUGAACCUCAAAGUUGUAAACUGAAACAGAUUGAGAUUGAGAUAUAAAGUUGGAUUGUAGUGAGUGAAAUGCCAUGAACAUUAAGGGAUUUAUAUAACAAGUUAAUAUUAGCAAAACCGCGUCUGCAAUUUGGAGGAAACAGAUGACGAAUAUGAAGAGAAACAGAGGCGAAAGGAGGGAGAAGUAUCCGUUGUUAUGGGGACAGAAAUGUUGAAAUCGCUCGAUUUUCGACUAGUAUCGGACGAUCUCAGAGACUGGUUAUUGGUUGGCUUUAAUACCAUUUAUUAUUUCUAAGUGGUCCCACACCGAUAUGUUGGUUUUUCACAAUCCUUUUCCUUUGAUAUAUAGUUUACGUUACCUGUUACUGAAUUUGCUUACUUUUCCUUUAAAGAAUACUAAACUUUGCUUUAAUAAUACACCAUAGCAUUGACUUUCUUCUUCUUUUUUGAAAUUAAGGUUUUUUUUAUUAAAAAAUUUGUUUGCUCUUCUGCUAGGUUUAAAAUAUUAAGGUGCAAUAUAAAUUUAUAGGUACGGAAUCUUGUUUGUGUGACUUAUGCAAUGCAUGAAUUAAUUUUAUUUAUUUAUUUCAAAUUAUUCGUAUUUUAAGUUAUAAUAACUUUAUUUGUUUAUUUAUAUAAGUAAAAGAAUUAAUAAAACAAAAUAGCAUACUUUCAAUAUUUAUUUUGACAGUUAUGUUAAAAGAAAUGGUAAACUAAGCCAGUUCCAAAAAUUCUAACAUCUAAAUCCAGAAAUUUAACACAGGGUUCAAAAACGGGGCAACCCAAAAAUUUCUAAACCUCCUUAGGAUCCCUAACUUUGAUGCCAUUGGUGUUGAAGUGAGUGCAAACCUUCUUUAUUGAUGAAACUUGAAUUUUACAAGAAGGAAACCUAAAGAUAGUUGCAGCGAUUGGGUGAUGGUUGGGCAAUGUAGGGUUUGGAUUUCAAUUUUAUGAGCAAGUUCGACGUCACUCUAGGGGUUUAGAACUUUAAAUUUGUUUUUGUAAUUAUUUAUUUAUAUUUUUUAAAAUUUAAAUUUUUAAAUAUUUUAUUUUAUUUUAUUUUUAUGUAUUUAUAUAUUUUUAAGUUUUUUUAAUUUCUAUUUAUUUUUUAGAAUUUUCUAAUUUAUUUUUUUAUAAGAAUUUCUAAUUAGUUUCUAAAUCAUAAUUUUUUUAACAUUUAUUCAAUUAAACAAUCUGGUUUCUCAUAAUUUAAUAAAUAUGCAAGCAAGAUAAUGAUUAUGAAAACAAUUAUUCAACCUUUUAAACAAAUAAGUAAUUUACAAUUUUAUAUUAUGUUAUGUAGAAAUUGGUUGUUCCAAAUAUUUUAUUAAAAUAUAGAGAGAGAUAUUUAACAUUUCGUGUUAUUUUCUUCAUUUGCAUUUUACACGCAAAUAACAACUUUGACAAAGGGAAAGGCUAAGAGAGACCACCCUGUACCACAAAAUUUCUGACAUUCCGUCUUUUCUUUUCUUUUUUCUGAAUUUAAAUUUAAUAUUUUUAAUUUUGAAAACUCAAAUUUACGUUAAAAAUUAUAUAUCUUUUUUUUAAUUUUCUGAAUUUAUAUAUUUUUAAUUAUAUGAAUUUUGUAAAAUUGUAUAGUUUCAUAAAACAUUUUAAUUUUUUUAUAAAAAUUAAAAUUUCUAAAUUUAGAUAAAUUUUUAAUUAAUAAUUUUAUAUAUUUUUUACUUUCUUAGUUUAGAGUAAAAUUAUUAUAAUUUUAAAUCUUUUAAUUUUUGAAUUAUAAAAAUUAGAUUUUUUUAACUUUUUUAUAAUUAGUAUAUUAUAAAAUUUUAUCAAUUAUAAAGGACUUAAAUGAAAAAAAAAAAUCAUUUUAGGAGGGCUCGGACCCCUUUGACUCUACCCUUGGUGUCGAAAUCAUUUUUUUAUUUUCUAAAAAAAAUUAGGUGUCGAUGAAAAUUUGGUGCCGCCACCAAUCUUUUAUUGAAGUGUGAUUGGAUUACCUAAAAUGAUUUUGGUCUAUGAAUUUUAGAAAAACGGGUCCGGGAAUCAGUUACGUAUGAGGAAGGAUUAGCACCCUCGUAACGCCCAAAAUUGGUACCUAAUUAAUUAAUUAGUGUCUUAAAUUCAAAAAUUUUAAAAACUUAAAACAUUACGUAUUAAGACCCUUCUCAUUUUAGAGAAGAAAAAUGUCACACCCAAUGUGUUAGGGCACAACAUUCUAAUUUCCUCCAAAAUGAAUUAGGUCAGAAUACUCGUAUAAUGAAAAAAAUAAAAGAUAUCCAUUUAUCCAAGAUUUAAGAAAUCGCGGUCCAAUACGUUAGGGCACAAUUCCUUUAAAACCCCAAACUCGGAAUAUUUCCUUUAUUAUUUUUUAGAAAAAAUCUUCAUUUCGAGAAAUCAAUGCGUCACAUCCAAUACGUUAGGACACAACGUGUUAAAUUCCCAAUAAUGAGCUCUUAUUUUUUUAUUAAAGAGAAAUGCUCAAUUGUUGGAUUUAACGAAGAAAAUCGGAAUUCAAUACGUUAGGGCUCAAUUUCCUUGAAAAUCCUAAAUUCGAACAUUAUCUCAAUUUUAAAAAUUUUCUAUUUUUAAAUUUGAGUAAAAAAAUGAUGUAACGUUAUUUUAUAUGCGCAAAUGUCGUAAUAACAAUGAUAACAAAUACAAUAAUAGCAUAGAAACAAUAUAAACAAAUGAAUAUAAAAUAAUGACAUGCAAAAGAUAUCAAAUAAAUAAGCAAGAUAAUAAUAAAAAUAUGCAAACAUAAAUUAAUAAGCAAAUGAUAAACAACAAAAAAAUAUACAGUUACACAUAAAAAAUACAUAAGUUAAAACAAUCAAAAUAAUAUCAAAAUUAAUUAAAUAAAUUAAACAUCUGUACACAAAAUAUACGAAAAGUAUUGUUUUUUUAAAAAAAAAAGGUAUAAAUACCUAAAAACCUAUAUAUGUAAAAUAAUGAUGAUUACUUAUAAAAAUUAUAAAAAAAUUGCAUUAUUAAAAUAUUGAUUUUAAGAGAAAUAUAUAAGAAAAAGACUAAAUUGAAUCAUACAUAAAAAUGGGGGGUAAAUCCGCAAAUAAAUAAAGUCUGGAGGACUAGAUUGAACGCGCAAACAAUGUAGAGGGACUGGAAGGGAAAUUUUCCCUUCUCCUCUAAACGACGUCAUUCACCUUAGGACGAAAUUGAAAACAAUAAUAAAUUAACGGGUAAAUUAAUAAAAUAAAGAUUUAAUUGUAAAAAACAUUAAAAAAAGCGGAGGGGCUGAAAGCGCAAUUUGCUCCUCCGUAUGAAAAACACGCGGAUCCUGGGUCCGGGUCGGGUCAACGCGCGGAUCCUCCCCUCAAAACGGCGUCGUUUUCAAUCGGCUAUCUAAGCCAAAAUUAUAAAAAAAUUUCACUUUUUCAUUCCUUCAAAAAAACAAAAUUCUCACAAAAAAAAAGCUCUCAACCUUCUAACACCGACCUCCAGUCCAGUCAUUGGCCGGUCGUCGGCCACCGCGCCGGCCGCCGAUCUCCGGCGCCGUCACCACCGUCUACGGUGGCCGGAAAAAAGGAAAAAAAUCCCCUUUUAGCCUUCUCGACCUCCUUUGCCCAAAUCUAGGCUUAAAUCCCACAAAACACCAACGAAAAUGCCCCUAAAAGCACUGAAACCUUUCGGCUUCUGGUCGUCUUUCAUCGGAGACGACACCCUCAGCCAUCCACGGCGAUCUGGGGCUUCAAAACACAGGUUGUGUCUGCUCUUUUCCCCUAUUUAUUUUAUUCGUACGUAUAUAAUGGUAAAAAAAACAACAGAAAAUAAAUAACAACCUUUUAUUUGAUUUUUUGCUCUCUAUAUUACGAAAGUGGUAGUUUUUUUCUUUCUGAUUUCAAAAAUCCAGGCUCGUUACAGUAUGUUCAAAGGCUACUCAUAGCCAUAAUAAUAAAAUAAAUAAAGAAACAGAUUUUCUUCCAAUUUGAUUUUCUAUUCUUUGAUUCCCUUUCCAUUUUUGCAGGUGAAGAUUGCAUAGAUUCGGCUUGGCUUGGUUGCGGCGCUGUUGAAGAUUAGAAACCCUAGGGUUUCAUCCUCUUUCUUGGGCCUCCGUAUUUGGGCCUUUGUUUGUUUUGGUUUGGGCCUUGUGACCCAUUUUGUAAUCGGACAAUUAUUUUAUUAUUAUUAUUAUUAUUUUGCCUGGUACGGGCCGGACAUAAAUUGGUCAUUACAGCUGCCCCUUUUUGCUCGUUAUCGUAUAACGGAAACGGAGCAAAGACUUUUAAAAUGCCCAAUUUUGCCCGGUCGUGCUGGAUCUUGGUACUCAUUUUCUUCAAGUAGCGUCAUUCCUUCCUACUGCAUCUUCAGAGGUAUAGGAACUAGUGCUUCAAUCUACUCCACCAGGAUAUCUAGGGGAUAGAAUUUGCGCCCUGUAACUUUCCAAAUGAACAAAAUUUGCUAUCUUAGUUUGCUCCACUACAAUCUUCAGGGAAAUAAGACUAGAUGCGAUCUGCUCUCUGCAACUUCAGAGAGAUAAGAUCUGUGAUUUCAAUCCGCUCCACUGCAACUUCAGGAAGAUAGGAUUACUGGCUUUAAUCUGCUCCACUUCAGGGAGAUAAGAUUUGUCAUCUUCAGUCUGCCUUACUGCAACUUCAAGAGGAUAAGACUUGCUUACUUAGUCCACUCCACUGCAACUUCAGGGAGAUAAGACUAAAUGUGACCUGCUCUCUACAAUUUCAGAGAAAUAAGAUCUAAGGUUUUAAUCCGCCCACUGCAACUUCAGCGAGAUAGGAUUACCGGCUUUAAUCUGCUCCACUGCAACUUCAGGGAGAUAAGAUUUGCCAUCUUCAUUCUGCCUCACUGCAACUUCAAGAGGAUAAGACUUGCUUACUCAGUCCGCUCCACUGCAACUUCAGGGAGAUAAGACUAGAUGCGAUCUGCUCUCUGCAACUUCAGAGAGAUAAGAUAUGAGGUUUUAAUCCACCCACUGCAACUUCAGCGAGAUAGGAUUGUCGCUUUAAUCUGCUCCACUGCAACUUCAGGGAGAUGAGAUUUGCCCUCUUCAGUCUGCCUCGCUGCAACUUCAGGAGAAUAAGACUUUCUUAUUUAGUCUGCUCCACUGCAACUUCAGGGAGAUAAGACUCUGUAUGUUAUCUUCACUGAUCUGCUCUCUAGGGAACAUGACCUGUAUAAUGAACCUAAUUAUACCGAAUGAUUAGGAUGGCAUAAAAUGCAUCAAAUGCUCCUAACUAGACAUGUGUGAAUGACAUUUGAAUGAAUGCAGAAUGUCAUUUUUCAAGAAUUAUCAUUUUUUGAAGUUUAUUUAGGUUUUGUCGCUGAUGCCUUUUACUUGGCUGAUAUCUUCGAAAAAUACUCAAUCAAAUUGCUCCCCAUUGUACACUUCAAAGCUUAACCCUCUAGGACGCAAAAUUUGUACUUCCACCGUGACUUAAGAGUAGGAAAAUUUGACUCUUCUCAGUCUUCUCCUAUCGUAAUUCAAGGAUGAAAUUUGUUUACACCACUCUCAAGGUGUCCUACCAAAUAUUCAUGCCCAAAUGAGGAGCUUCCUUUCUAUAGGGGACUUCUUCCAACCCCAUCAAAACUUCUUGCUGUCUCAUUCGAUAUUUAGAUAACCCAAUCCGAAAAAAGCAGUCUUAUUUUGGACUUUUCCUUCUUAGGCUCUUUAAUCUUUGAACUUGGGGUAAUAUACAAAACUUUUUUUGUGAAAGUUUAUUAGUCCAUCAAUCAUUAUUCUAAUGCGACAUGCUUGCACAAAAAUCAAACAUACUGAGUAAGAGAUGAAUUAAUUCAAGAUUUUAUUGAUAGUAAGUAUCCUAAAAAGAAAAAAUAUUCAAGAAUAGCAAAGAAUGAAGUUUUUACAAGAACCAACAAACUUGGUACAAAUAUUAUGAAGACUAGGUGCUUUGGAUAUCGCCGCUUGAACUUCUCCGUGCAUGCCUAGAACCAUUCUGAAUUAAACAUGUGUUUAGGGGAUCUACAGUACUUUGUCAAUGCCCCCCAAGACGUCGUACAUCCUUUUAUUGUUGACUUUAGCGAAGCAAGAUCACCAUAUGCCCCAAUCUGACAAUGUUUGAGCCGUCCUUUUCGGGUUUUCAACUCAAACCCCCUUUAGUCUCAAGGUGCCCUUUUCGGGUUUUCACCUUGGCCUCUUCCUUUUUUUUUUGGAAAUUAGAGUGCCCUUUGCAGGUUUUCACUUUGAUUCCUCCCUUUCUUCAAGUGAAAUGUUUCUUAACCGAGUCUGAAUUUAUAGGAUUCGGAAGAUUUUUGCCAUUCAUUUUACUCAAAAUCAAAGCACCUCCAGAAAAAACAUUUUUCACAACAUAAGGUCCUUCCCAGUUUGGCAUCCAUUUCCCUCUGAAAUCCUUUUGCAAAGGGAGGAUCUUUUUCAAAACUAAAUCCCCUUCAUGAAAUUCUCUAGGACGAACCUUCUUAUUAUAAGCUCGCAUCAUUCGCUUCUGAUACGUUUGGCCAUGUCGAAUGGCUUUUAAUCUUUUCUCUUCAAUCAGGUUCAGUUGAUCAUACCGAGAUUGGAUCCAUUCGGCCUCAUCUAAUUUUAACUUGGCCAAAACUCGGAAAGAAGGAAUUUCCACCUCAAUGGGUAAAACUGCCUCCAUUCCAUAAACUAACGAAAAAGGUGUUACCCCAAUAGAAGUCCUGAUAGAUGUUCGAUAAGCAAGAAGAGCAAAAAGUAACUUUUCAUGCCAAUCUUUGUAAGUUUCAGCCAUUUUUGCCACAAUUUUCUUGAUAUUUUUAUUCGCUGCUUCCACUGCACCAUUCAUUUUUGGGCGAUACGGUGAUGAAUUAUGGUGUCUAAUGUUGAACUGAUCGCAGACUUCCGCUAUUGUGCUGUUAUUCAGAUUCAACGCAUUGUCAGAUAUGAUUCUUUCAGGCAUUCCAUAUCGACAUAUGAUCUCCUUCUUCAAAAACUUACUGACUGCUGACUUCGUGACAUUAGCAUAUGAGGCUGCCUCUACCCACUUAGUAAAGUAGUCAAUAACCAUAAAGAUGAAACGAUCUCCAUUAGAAGCCUUCGGUGAUAUUGGUCCAAUGACGUCCAUACCCCACAUGGAGAAAGGCCAUGGAGAAGUCAUAACAUGAAGAGGAGGAGGCGCGUGCAUUUUAUCCCCAUAAAUUUGGCAUUUAUGGCAUUUCUUGGCAUGAUUGAUGCAAUCUCCUUCCAUAGUGGACCAGUAAUACCCGAAUCUCAUAAUCUGUCUAGCCACGGUGAAUCCAUUAGCGUGUGUUCCACAAACACCCUUAUGGACUUCUUCUAAAAUUUCCUUAGCGUCUACAGUGUCCACGCAUCUCAACAGUACUCGAUCUUUUCCCCUUUUGUAUAGGAUCUCCCCAUCUAAGACAUAGUCAAUAGCUAGUCUCCUCAAUGUCCUCUUAUCAUUCUCCGUUGCCUGAUCAGGAUAUUCACGAUUCUUCACAUAUAGCAAUAUAUCUUGGUACCAGGGACGAUUAUCAUUCUCCACUUCUUCAAUGCUGUAACAAUGGGCUAAGAUCUCAUAAAUACUAAUUUGAAUGGGUUUUAUGUCCUCUAACUGAUUCACUUUAAUCACGGAAGCUAAAGUAGCAAGAGCAUCAGCCAUCUGAUUUUCUUCCCGUGGGAGAUAACAAAAGGUAAUGUUGUCAAACUCUUCGAUCAAUUCCAAAACCAAUCUCCGAUAACAAAUCAAUUUAGGGUCUCUUGUCUCCCAUUCCCCUCUUAGCUGGUAUAUUACCAAUGUUGAGUCUCCGUACACCUCUAAUGUCUUGAUUUUCUGCUCUAUGGCUGCCCGUAUACCCAUGAUGCAGGCUUCAUACUCAGCCAUGUUAUUAGUGCAAUCAAAGUCUAAUUUACUAGUGAAAGGAUGAUAAUCUCCAUUCGGAGACACCAAGACUGCCCCAAUCCCAUUGCCUAGAGCAUUCGAUGCUCCGUCAAAGUUUAAUCUCCAAGAGUGAUUUUCUUGGGGAUCCUCUUUAGCAUUUGCCACAUACAUCAAAUCUUCAUUCGGGAAAUCAAAGUCCAAAGGUUCAUAGUCUUCCAAAGCUCUGCUAGCCAAGAAAUCUGCUAUCGCACUCCCCUUGAUGGCCUUCUGACUCACAUAUACUAUAUCAAACUCAGAGAGCAGGAUUUGCCAUCUAGCCAUUCUUCCAUUCAAUACUGUCGACUCUAUCAUAUAUUUCAAAGGGUCUAAUUUUGAGAUUAGCCAAGUUGUAUGACAAAGUAAGUAUUGCCUCAACCUCUUGGUCGUCCAAAUUAGAGCGCAACACAAUUUUUCGAUAGGCGAAUAUCUCAUCUCACAAUCAGUGAAUUUUUUGCUGAGAUAGUAAAUCGCAUUUUCCUUCUUUCCAGUCGCAUCAUGUUGACCCAGUACGCAUCCCAUAGAGUUGUCGAGCACAGUUAAAUACAAAAUCAAGGGUCUGUCUGGGCUAGGUGGUGACAGCACUGGAGUGUUAGAUAAGUAUUGCUUUAUCUUCUCAAAGGCUUUCUGGCAUUCUUCAUUCCAGACAUCGGGAUUAUGUUUCUUCAAUAAGCGAAAUAUAGGAUCACAUUUCUCAGUCAACUGUGAAAUAAACCGAGCAAUGUAAUUCAAUCUUCCUAAGAAGCCUCAAACUUCUUUCUGGGUACGUGGUGGCGAUAAAUCCCGUAUUGCAUUGACUUUGUCUGGAUCAAUCUCGAUUCCUUUUUCACUGACUACAAAGCCUAACAACUUUCCUGACCUGGCUCCAAAAGUGCAUUUUUUCUGAUUAAGCUUGAGUUGGAACUUCCUUAAUCUUAAGAACAAUUUUCUCAUGACCUGCACAUGUUCCUCCUCUGUUCUGGAUUUGGUAAUCAUAUCAUCAACAUAAACCUCAAUCUCUUUAUGCAUCAUGUCGUGGAACAAGGCUACCAUGGCUCUCUGAUAUGUUGCUCCUGCAUUCUGUAAUCCGAAUGACAUCACCUUAUAGCAAAAUGUUCCCCACAAAGUAAUGAACGUAGUCUUCCCAUAUCUUCCGGAUGCAUCUUUAUCUGAUUAUAUCCUGAGAACCCAUCCAUAAAAGAAAACAGCGAAAAUCCCGCCGUAUUAUCCACCAACAUAUCAAUAUGUGGCAAUGGGAAAUUGUCCUUUGGACUCGCCUUGUUCAAAUCCCUGUAAUCCAUGCACAUUCGUACUUUUCCAUCUUUUUUAGGGACUGGAACGAUGUUAGCUACCCAUUCAGAAUAUUUUAUCUCUUGUAAAAACCCAGCAUCAAACUGUUUCUUAACCUCCUCUUUUAUUUUGAGCACAAUAUCCGGCGUCAUCAUUCUGAGCUUCUGUUGAACUGGUUUGCAAUCCUCUUUUAUGGGUAGGCAAUGCACUACAAUGUCAGCACUCAAUCCGGGCAUAUCCUGGUAUGACCAUGCGAAGACAUCUUUAAAUUUUUGGAGUAAUUCAAUAAGGUCUCGUCUUGUCUUCUCUGAAAUCUCAGUUCCAAUUUUCACCUCUUUUCCUUCUUCCAAGCUCACGAUUUCUACUGAUUCUUUGUGAGGUAGGAUUUGCUUUUCCUCUUGUUCUACCAUCCUCAACAAGUCCAAAGAUAAACCACCCUCUUCAUUACCUUCAAAUUCGUGCGAUCCCUCUAAACACACGUUUCGUUCAAAAGGGCACUCUGAGCUCGUAGCAGUGUCAUUCACGUCAUUGAUACACAGAGACCUAUUAUGGUCACAAAAGAAUAUAUGAAUUUAUGUACAAUUAUUUAUGUAAUGAAAGAAUAUAUUUAGGCGUAUAGGAAGAAUGAAACAAUAUUUGCUCGAAAUAAUUGAAAAGAUGUAUUUUAUUAAAAUAAUGAUUUUUAAACAUUAGCCUAUUUCACAAAAGAAUUCUUGUUAUUUCUAGGCUAAAACAACAAGUUUGUUCUGAAUAUUACUCUGAAACAGUUCUAAAGACUUUAGGUAUUUCUUCCGCAGUCCAAUUAUCUAGAACACUCCUAGGCUCAUAAGGACGAAUGUCUAGCCAACUUCUCUCUUCAUUCCCAAGCUCAUGAAUGGCAUUAAUGUGCAUAUUUCCCAACGUAUCCUCGAUGCUUUCCUCAACCGAUUUCUUUCUCUCCUGAUGAAUAAUUCCUCCAGAUACGAAAGUUUUGGAUAUGUGGGGAAUUAUCAUUGGCUCCCACUUAGCUUCCUCCCCAUUUAAAUGCGCCCUUCUUCUUUCCUGCCUUUUCUCUAUCUCUUUCCUUCUCUGUCCUCUAUCUGGCUUGUAUCCUAAGCCAAAAUUAUCUUGCUUUUCUUUCAGCAUUGGAACCUCAGUUCUCCCUUGAAGAUAUCUCCCUAGCCUUCUUCCGGGUAAAGCUCCUUUUCCCACCAACAACUGUAAACCCAUCUCUAUAGUUUUGGAUAAUUUUGGCACUAAAAUUUUGCUCCCUUCAGCAACAAAUGCCACAUUUACAAACUCCAAAGAUCGAAAUGAGCACUCUAUUGACUCGUCAAUGGUUUCUACGUAUGGCGUCUCAUUGGAUACAGCUGCUAUUAUAUUCUCUUCGGCUUUUAUUGUCACUAGCCGACCAUCUGACACUAACUUCAACAUUUGAUGCAAUGAUGAUAGCACUGCCCCUGCCGAAUGUAUCCAUGGCCUUCCUAAUAAACAAUUAUAGGAAGGUUUGAUGUCCAUCACAAUAAAAUCUACCUCAUAGACUGUUGAGCCAAUCAGUAGGGGUAUCUCAAUUCUCCCAAUGACCUUCCUUUUUGUACCGUCAAACACCCUCACUACAUUUUGACACGUUUUCAUGUGCGAACUGUCUAUGGGUAGCCUGUUAAGUGUGAAUAAUGACAGUACAUUCAAAGCUGAUCCAUUGUUAAUCAAUACUCCUGGCAAAAUAUGCCCCUUGCAUCGUGCAGUAAUAUGCAAAGCUUUAGUAGAUCUCAUGCCCCGAGGAGGUAUUUCAUCAUCGUUGAAAAAUAUGAAAUUAUUAGCACUAAUAUUAUUGACCAACCGAUCUAGCUUACUGACAGAAAUAUCCUUGGACACAUAGGUCUCAUUUAGCAUAUUCAUCAACGCAUUUCGAUGUACUUCUGAAGUCAAGAGUAAGGACAGUACAGAUAUGCGGGCUGGUUGUUGAUGCAAUUGCUCGACGACAUUAUACUCACUAUGCUUUAAAAAUUUAAGGAAUUCCACAGCUUCUUCCUCCUUUACUGGCUCAACUAUUUUCCCUUUUUGCUCCCCUAUUAUAGCCUCUUUCAUAGACUCUGGAUUGGUACUCACACACUUGCUCUUUGCAGUCUCUUUUCCUGGGACAGUCGUAUUGCACUCGUAGUUCCAUGGGACCUUCUUACUGUCUUAGUAAGGAAAGGUUGUAGGUUUCUUUAUUAUGAUCCUUGGCAUUGCUGGUGUUCUCACCUCAUCCUUCUUGGGUCGCGAGAUAAUGGCCACAGGCUGCACUACUCUUGGAACCUUCAAAGACUCUGAUGUGCAAAUGCUCCCCUCUUCCUUAACUUCUUCAUAAAAUUCUAUCUCCUUAUUAUCCAUCAAGUCUUGAACCAAGGCUCUGAAUUCUGUGCAUUCCUGGAUUUCAUGUCCCUCAUCGUGAUGGAACUCACAGUAAUUUUCCACCCUUUCGAAGCUUCUCUUUGAGUUUGGGACGAUCAAUCCCCUUUUUACCAUAUUUCUCCAGACCCACCUCAAAGGAAUUUUCACCUCUGAUAUGUCUUCCUUGAUCUUUCUACCCAUGCUCUCACAUAUCAUGUUUACUCCGUUAUGAUCAGGUAACAGAUUUUCUGUAUUGGGUGAAUCAUCCAAUUUAACCACGUCCAAGCUUAUAAGUCUUUCCACCAACUUUUUGAACGCCGUACAAUGUUCUAUAGAAUACCCCUCAAUUCCCGUGUGAUAGUCGCACUGUGCAUUUGCAUCGUACCACUUAGGGUAUGGAGGCUGCAGGGGUUUCAAGUGGAAAGGGGCAACCACGUGUGCAUUGAAUAGAUUCUGGUAUAGCUCCCUAUACGUCAUUGGAAUUGGCGUAAAUUGAAUUUUCUCUGUAUUUUGUCGUGUAUCAGAUCUCUGCUUUGAUGAUCCUUGCUGGUUAACAACCACUUUUCCCGGCCGAUUCACUGUAACUAUCUUUGAAUAUGAACUUGUAUUGUUGACCUCAUUCUCUUUCUUCUUCGAGGCCGCCCUUCUGCUACUUUCUCCAUAUCUAUUUUCCCACUUUUGAUAGAAUUUUUUAUCAUCUCGCCAUUCAUAACUAUGUCGGAAAAACUUUUAGUAGCGCUUCCUAACAUAUGUGUAAUAAACGGUGCCUUCAAUGUGUUGACGAAAAGCAUCGUCAUCUCUCUUUCUAGAAGAAAUGGCUGAACUUGGACAACAACCUCCCUCCAUCUCUGUGCGUACUGCCUGAAACUUUCACCAGGCUUCUUCUCCAUGUUCUGCAGAGUAAUUCUAUCAGGUACCAUGUCAAUCACAUGGUUGUAUUGUUUUAAGAAUGCCUGUGCUAGAUCUCUCCAUGAAUUAAUCUGGGUACGGCUCAGUUGAUUGUACCAUUUAGAUGCAGCCCUUGUGAGGCUAUCUUGGAAGCAAUGUAUCAGCAACUGGUCAUUAUUAACAUAUCCAGUCAUCUUCCUGCAGAACAUAGUAAUAUGGGCUUCAGGGCUACUAGUCCCGUUAUACUUCUCGAACUCUGGCAUUUUGAACUUGUGAGGAAGUACCAAACCUGGAACCAAGCUCAAUUCUCUAGCAUCAAUUCCAUGGUAGCUCUCAGUACCUUCCAUUGCUCUAAGUUUUUCCUCCAGCCAUUUAUACUUUUCCUCGAGCUGUUUUGGCAACUCACCAUUCAUUUUUUCGAUUGUCUCAUCGAAGUUAGGGAUAACAGGAUUAGCAAAAUUGUCUCCAGGGUUGGAGCCUAAUCUAGCUUGAAAGUUUAUUGGUGUUUCAGUACCGUCUUGAGGCUUGAUAGUGACGGAGGAUUUAUGCGGAUAUAUCCCCGCUUGUUGAGAAGUAAGUCCUGAGGAAUAAACAGGUCCCUCGUUGUCUCCUUCUUCAAUGUUGAGCACCGAGCCCUUCCCUUUGUCAACUCCUCCAAUCAAUAACUGAGUCAACUUAGCCAUCGUGCUCCCUUGAGAUUCCAUUAUUUUAUCCAUCAUCUUUUGUUGAAUCUUCUCAAGUUGCUCAUUCAUUUGCUCUUGCAUUUCCUUCUGGAACUGUUCUAGCCUUUGGUCAAUGUCUCUAGUUUUCGAUCGAGUACCGUAGUGGUGCUGGGUAGGUUGGUUGGUUUCCAGAUUAACUGAGGAAUGAUGUAAAUUAAUUAGAAUCUUUUAAUGUUUUUUAAAUGCAUAUUAAGUGAUGCAAUGCAUGAAUGCAAAAAAAAGACGUCAAUUUUGAUUCAGUUCCAUAUAAGAAAACCUUACUAGAAAGCAAACUUCUUUACAUAAAGCGAAUUACAAAUAAGACUUUGCCCUAGUACCUAGAACUCUAAUCUUCCUAAGUAACAAAGCUAAUUCCUGCCCCCGAUUCGAUUCUAAUUCAUACUUCACACUCAGCGUGUCAGCCUGUACUGCUAAAGUCUUUAUAUGAUCAGCUACUUCUCGAAUCUGGACCACAGCUUCCUCGAUAAGAUGAUCUCUGCUUCUAACUUGACUUUGAAAAUGGUGAAGCUGUUCAUUAUUACGACUUUCAUUUGCUUUCAAGUGCUUGAUCUGAAUCUCACAAUUUUACAGCACCGUUUCUAGCUCUUCGAUUCUUUUCUUCAUUUCGUCAAUCUUGCUCAAGCUUGCUUUCAACUCUAUCGUAGAGUUUCGGCUUCGAUACUAACGAAGAGAUCUUUCCAACACAAUCACCAUAUCCUUUAACUCGCCCUUUUCCUUCUGGCUUUCUGACAAACUCUUUUCUAAAGCCUCAUUUCACCUUGCAUCUCUUGAAAUCUCUAUUCCCAUCUAUCGGCCUUGUCCUUUUCUUCUUGGAUUUCCGCUCGCCACUGUUCUGACGUCUUUUCCAGCUCAGCAGUUCUUAUUGACAAACGCAACUUUUUAUAAUUCGUCUUUAGACUGCCCAGUUCCUCAUCUGCCUUGUUUUUCUCUUUCUUCAACCUCUCAUUCUCAAGCUUCUGAAUGUCUAUGUCCAAUCUCAAGUUCAUCUUUUCCGUCUCCAUUUGUUCUAUCCUUUUCUCCAAAUCCGAGUUCUUCCUCUCAAAAUCUUGUCUUACCAUUUCCAAUUCCGAAGGGAUGACUCGCAAAUGCUCUUCUAUUGACUGACCGUCCCCACGAUUUAUCUUGGGUGUGUUAUCAUUAAUCCUUCUAGCCCACCAUCCAUAAUACUCAGGAGUUGUCAUUGGCCCCACAGCUAACCUCUUCAUUUAGCGAGUCUGUUUCCAUGCAUUGGACAUUUCUUGAAUCUUCUUUCUAUAACCAUCAUCUUUGUAUGAAAAUUCACAAUCAGCUAUUCCUUGAGUCGCAGGUAUAAACUGCCUUAACCUAUAUUGCCUUAGCACUAAUAACGGAGCAUAUCCGACAGCUCCCCAAAUACCCAAUAAAGGUACCUAAUCGAAAUUUCCACACCUAUAUAGGAUCUCAUCUGGUAGUAACUAAGGAGCUCUCCACUCAACAUCUUCCUCUUGAAGAUUUUGAAGAAUGGCCAUCCAUUUUUCCUCUGAAAUGUCGUCCCUUCUUGGCGUAGCAACUAUCUCUUUUAGUGGUGAAUAAUUUUCAGAGAAGACCCGAUACGAAACUUUAUUCACCUUCCAAAAGUGACUGUGAAACCAUACGAGUAGAAGCUGCGCACAUCCGAUAAAUCUACCCUCACCUGUCUUUCGGCAUGCACUCAAUGACCUGAAGGUUUCUGCCAAAAUUGCCGGAAUCGGUGUAACCCUCUUAUCAAGCCGAUCAAAUAAAUCGGUGACUACUUCGCCACAUGCCCCAAGGCUUUAGGGAAGACAACCAAGCCGUAUAUACUUAAAGUGAAGAUAUCUAACCUCAUGCUUAUGUCUGGGUGGGUGAGGAUUGCAUCCUUCAAGCUCCUCCAAGGAAUGCACUUGCUGUCCCCCUUUUGCUUAACUCGUGUAGCGACCCACUACUCGCUCAUCCCUGUUAUUCCUAUCAGCUUCUUUGAAAAUGUUGGCACAUUCAAUGCUCUCGAGUAGACCCUAUCCACUUGAAACUUUGAACAUCGGAGUAAAGCCACAUACUCCUCUAUCUAGGUACCAAAUCGACAUUCCCAAACGUGAAGCAACUGUAAGCAGGAUUCCAAAACUGGGCGAGGGCUUGAAAUAAAUGUUUGUCUAUCUCCACAUCAAGCAAAUAAGGCAAGUUUCCAUAAUUGUCGUAAAAUGACUGCCAAACCUCAUUAUUCCACUGAUCCCAAAUUUCUUUCAACUCCUGCAAAUUGUUUUGAGCCACACUGAUGCGAGUAAAAUCCCAUAAUUCUGAUAUAUACCCAUCGGCUAGGCUAUCACCCUUUUCUUGUUGCGUUGUUUCAGACCAAGUUCGGACAACCGUAUUGUCCUCCACUUUAUCAAGAAACCCUUUUUCCAUAUCAAGCUUUCUAUCUAGCAACCGAAUCCGAACUGACGCCUUUUAUAAUGAAAUGAGAUGCCAUGUCAUGCAAACAAAAUAAAGCACAAGAGUCAGUAUCCAAUACAAGCAUAUAAUCAAAGAAGAGUAAAACGCCU
rnacentral:lncRNA from 1 species